rnacentral:lncRNA from 1 species
AUGAGUAUUAUUGGCCUAUAAUUUUGUAGUACCUAAGCAUACAAUUCAGACUAAUUAUAAACCAGAAACUGGUAAAGUUACAAAAUAGAUUAGGGACGAUUGUGAUGUCAUUCGAUUGCAAUAAGCAUAAAAAUAAGACGCUGAUUUACCUGGAUAACCAGUUGGUGGAUAGGAGGUUGGUGGAUAUCCCACAUAAGAAGGAUAGGCAGGUGGAGGAUACCCGCCAGAAGAAGGGAAUGCAUGAUGUGCUUGCGGGGGAUAUCCAUAUCCUUGGGGAGGGUAUGAUCCAUACACACCACCAUAUGAAAAUAGUGCUUUCUCAGUUGUCUCAUGUUUCUCGUCCUUUCCACCUCCCCAUCUUAUCAAGUACGUAAGAUUGAUACCUAGCUGCAUAUCAUUAUUCAAAAUGACCAUUUACUUAAGUCAUGAUUUUACUUAAUUCAGCAUACAUGAUUGCAAUAAUAUUGUUAUAUAUGCUCAGCUUUAAAUAAUAAAAGAUAUUACCCAGCUGGGGGACCAAUCUUCAAAACCCUAGACAAAGAAAAUUCUUUCCAAUUAAGCAGGACGUAAAUCUCUAAACAUUUGGGUGCAUUUAUUACAAGCUUAUAUAUCUCACGAGCUUAUGUAACUAACCGCCGGCUAUUAAGCUACAAAAAAUAUGAAAUCCAUGUUCAUAUAUAAAGCAUAUAUAUUGUUGGACCAAAAAAUAAAAUAAAAAUAAAGCACAUAUGUUAAUGCAGAAACAGAAGACAAUAACUAGAGAUUACAGAGAUAGAGAUGGCUCACAAACAGUUGCGUUGGGACACUUAAGUUUGCCCUCAACACUUCUCAAGCGAACGCCUGUGUGAAACUUGAAGAAAUGAAGUACGUAUAUAUAGGGAUCAUAAAGUAAACAAGCAGAUAUUCUUUUGAAUUUGGUCCCAAUGAAUAUAAUACAAUGAUAGAUUCCUUAAAGUUGAUGCACCGCAUUACUUCAACGUGUGCGCUUUAUUUUAUGCCCUAUAUAGUAAAAAGACCACUAUUUUUUUCGUCAAAAAAAAAAAGUAAAAAAAAAAAGACCACCAAUAAUGACAUGUGAUUUCUCUAGUAUAAGUGGGGGGACUGAAUGUGAUUUCUCUAGUAUAAGCACGGGCGAUACAGUCCGGUUGAAUCGCUUUGAUUUUAACUGAAAUACAGGUGAAAACAACCCAACCCAAACAAACCAUUGUUAUGCGGUUUAGUUAAAACCAGUUUAGGCUUUGGAGCCCAAGCUUAAUGCUUUAUAUUUUAUUUUAGGAAAAAUUAUUAUUUGGUCUCUAACUACUAAUGUUCGUUUUUUUACUAAGAUCUUAUUGUUUUUCAGAUUUUGCAAGUCCCUAAUAUUAAGGUGUUAAUGAAUUUACUACAUCUCAAUUACAUAGUUUUUUUUAAAUAAAAAUUAAUAGUUGAUUUAGAAUUUUAAUCCUCACACCUUCAACAAUCUGCUAAUUAAUUUUCAAUUUAAAACAUUUCCAAAAUACAUUAAAAAAGAAGUUUGUGUCAAAUUCCGGCCCAGGCCCCCACGGCAUCCCGGCUCAACUUCACCGUAGCACGAUAUUGUCCGCUUUGGGCCCCGACCACGCCCUCACAGUUUUGUUUCUGGGAACUCACACGAGCAAAACUUCCCAAUGGGUCACCCAUCCUAUGAAUGCUCUGGUCCCUUUCUCGCUUAACUUCGAAGUUCCGACGGAACCCAAAGCCAGUGAGCUCCCAAAAAGCCUUGUGCUAAGAAGAGAUGAGAAUAUACAUAUAAGGCUUACAGGAUCCACUCCUUGGGCGAUGUGGGAUGUUACAGUUUGUACUUAUUAAUUUAAUAUAAAAUAUUUUUGAGUUUUGAAUCAUAAAUGUAACCAAGCAUAUAAUUUUUUUUUAAUUUCUUAAAUGCACCCAUUCUUAAAUAUACCAAUCUUAUAUAGGUAAAAUCUACCAAGUUUUUUAAAAUAUAAAAUGUACCUAUUUUUCUUUUCAUGUAAAAUCCCUUCAUUUUUUUGAAAUUGUUAUUGGCACUUCAAUAUUGUCAUUUUUACACUCCAAACUUUUUAUAUUUAAAAAGAAAAAUAAACGUGUGAGAAGCGCAAAAUGAGAUACGAAUCUAUCACCAUAUAUAUAUAUAUAAUAAAAUACAUAAAGUUAGGAUACUAGAUAAGAAGUAAGAGGUACUUGUCUAUUCCCCCUCUCCGAACUUGUAAGGAGUUACUAAUUUUUCUCCUAAACUUUAAAUUAGUCGAUUACUUUCCUUCCUGGACUUUUAUAAUAGAUCAACUCCCCCUGACAUUAGAUUUGGAAAUUUCCCAUCCAAUUUUGGUCACAAUGCAAAUAUUUGGGGCGAUAGAGUUAAUUUAUCCCUAAUAUGGGCAUAUUGCUUUUUGAUUCUUCUUUUCUUCCUCUAGUUGUUUUCGUACACUUUCUAUGUGAAAUAGCCAUCAAAACUCUAUACAAGUACAAGGAACAAAUUACCAAUAAGUCAAGAACUAAUAUUGCGCUGCGUUAAAUCAACGCCUGUACUUUAUAUGUUAUCCACAAAAACUUCUAAUGGUCCUUUGAAACCGUGACAUAAAUUUUUAUAGUAAAUUAUAAAAAUAUUAGAUAAUUAUUAUUUUCAUAGAAAAGAAAUAUUUCAGAGCUAGCUGAAUGCACACGGACUGUUAUAAGUUUAGGGUAGUGUUAUCUAUACACUCAUUUUACUUCCCACAUGCUUGUUGUUAAUUUCCAUCCUUUAAUUUUCUUCAAUGCAUUUUAUUCGACGGACAGAAAUUGAAAAUGGUGUGUAAAAGGUAAAAAAUGACGUGUGGAUAGCACCACCCUAAGUUUAUGGUUGGCCUAAAUAGAAACUUCAGUUGUUUAAUUCUAAAGUGCCGAGUCAUACCAACUAUACUCCCCGAACAAAUUGGGCAAAAUAUGAGAAUAAAAAAUUCGUGUUAUAUCCAAUUAUACAAGUGACAUUGUACACUAAAAAAGAAAUGGAGAGUUUGAACUCGAGACACGGUUGAUUAAAAAGAAAGGUUUUAAGCUUUUAACCACCAGAGCAAUCUAUCACUUGUAGGUGAAUUGAAAUGAAAACAGAGAAAAAAGAUGGAUUUUGAAAGGAGAAUAAAUUAUGGGUAGUGCUAUUAGCACUUCAAACUUUCUAUAUUUAGAAAAAAAAAAAAAAAAAAAAAAAAAAAAAAAAAAAAAACUUACUAGGAGUGCACAGAUUUUUGAAGUGUGAAUAGCAAAAAGCUAUGUGGUCAACCAAUACAAGCAGUUUCAAGAUGAAGAGAAUUUCCAAUAGAAUGGAAGAGACACGAAUCCAAGUACAACCAGAGUUUUGGCCGUGUCCAAAUUUAGUUCUCCCUUUUUGGUUCUCAGAUUUCAACUUUCAAAUAUAAAAAAAAACGAAAAAAAAAAAACUGAAAGCAGUAUGUUUAUCAAACGGCCCUAAUUGAAACAGAAUUAACAUUUAAACUCUUUGAUAUCUUUUAGGACAGUUUUAAGCCUCCAAGGACAGUCUAAUUAAAUUGAGUGAUGGGAAAUAACUGAUCCACUAUUUCACGGAAAGAAUGACGCAUAGAGGGCAUGUGAGAUCAAAUCAACACGGUUAAUAUGUGAAGCAAGCCUGGUCUGAGAUUUUAGCCCGCCCCUUAAACAAAAAGUCAAGCAAAAGUUUUAACUUAUGGGGGGAGAUUAAAGUUGGUCAGCUCAGUCACCGUUGAUUUAUAGAUAUCCUUGUCUAAGUUCAAUCGAUUCCAAUAUUUUUGGUUUCAUGAGCUAAAAUGGUUAAGCCAGUCCUAAACGAUAGUCUAUGGGCUCUUGGAAAGAGAAAAAUACAAAAAUAUAAAUACGUUAUUAUUUAUUUUUUGUAUGGAAAUACAGUACAAAAUACAAAUACGUCUUUAUUUAUUUUUAAAGUAAUUAUUACAAAGGGCGUAACUCGUAAGAAGAUUAUUUUAGACUAGAUUUGGAUCUUGAUGAAACGACCAUGAUAUUUGCCUUAGAUCCACCAUAUCAUAUGUUUUAAUGCCAUUUGUUGAACUUGCCACCAAAGGGCUUGCCAAACUUCCCAUGCUGAAAUUUGCCAUGACCGUAGCCGUGGCCAACCCCAAAGCCAUGGGAACCACCAUGGCCAUGGUAAGCACCAUAGCCAUGGUGGGCCCCACCUCCAUGCACAAGAUGGUUAGCCCCAUUCGCAGGAGUAGCUGCGACAGGAACCCCAGCUAACAUUCCUCCCAUUCCCAUACCAGGAGCUCCAUGCCCUGUACGUGAUAAUCUUUCAUUGGUCACCAAGAAAACGAAAAUAAUAUUCUACUUUAAUGUCAUUCCAAUUGGUUCUUCAUAUAAGAUGAUCACUAGCUGGAAGAAAAUUAAGAACAUCAAUUGAUAGAUGUCGAUGCGAAAUGAGAAAAUAUAUUUUCAAAACGUAAUUGUUAUUGACAAUCUAAAAUACUCAUUGUGCACUCCAAAUUUUCUUUAUUUAGAAAGAAAAUACACAUGUGAGAAAUAUGUACAAUGAGAAUUUUGAAGUGCCAAUAAUAUUUUCCCUUUUCGUGUUUAAUUUAUUGUCAUGUCUUACAAAAAUGUUGUAUAUCCAUAGCAUUUUCUUUUAUAUUAUCUCUUCUCUAUCGAUUCCAUUGAAAAAAAAAAGGGGGGGAAAAUCAGAUUGCCAUCCUUCAAUAAAAUUUUGAAUUUGGUCUUGAUUAAUAUACCCAUGAAUAUUAUUGGCCCUAUAAUUUUGUAGUGCCCAUGUAUAUACUUCAGAAUAAUUAUAACCCAGAAAACUGGUAAAGUUACAAAAAUGAUUAGGGACGACCGUGAUGGGAUUCGAUUGCAUGCAGAAUGAUAAAGACGCUGAUGUACCUGAAUAACCAGCCGGUGGAUAGGAGGUUGGUGGAUAUCCCCCAUAAGAAGGAUAGGCAGCUGGAGGAUACCCGCCAGGAGAAGGGUAUGCUUGAUGUGCUUGCGGGGGGGUAUCCAUAUCCUUGUGGAGGGUAUGAUCCAUACCCACUACCAUAUGAAAAUAGUGCUUUCUCAGUUGUCUCAUGUUUCUCGUCCUUUCCACCUCCCAUCUUAUCAAGUGCGUAAGGUUGAUACCUAACUGCAUAUCAUUAUUCAAAAUGAACAUCUACUUAUCAAAUGGGAGGCACCAUGUUAGAGAAUUUUGUUGUAACAUAUCAUAGAUAAUUGCAACAAGCAAUAAAUGCUAAGAAAACUCUCUUAAAGUAAGACUUUUUAAUGACUCUCUGCCACUUUAUCUUUUUGGCACAUUGUUUUAUAAUAUUAGCACUAGUAUUGUGCCACAAAGAUGAAAUAGCAGAAAGUUCAUAUAUUUAUAAGAGAGUCUCCUCAGCAUUUCUUAUUCUAACAAUUGUUAUGCUGAUCAGCUUUAAAUAAUAAAAGAUAUAUUACUCAGAUGGGACCAAUCUUCAGAACCCUAGACAAAGAAAAUUAUUUCCAAUUAAGCAGGACGUAAAUCUCAAAACAUUUGUGUGAGCUUAUGUAACUAACCAGCUAUUAAGCUACAAAUAAUAAGAAAUCCAUGUUUAAAGGAUUUGGAUUCCAUCCGGAUUCAAAUUGAGGAAAUUCUAGGAAUCUUCACAUCUUUUAAUCAUUCAUUGUAUAUCGUGUGGUUAGAAAUCAUUUGAAUUUUUUUAUUUAAAAUUAAACACAAAUAAUACCUAACGAAACUGACCGCACGUACAAUGAACAGUUAUGAUGUGAUGAUCCCUGUAUAAAGCAUAUAUGUUAAUGCAGAAGACAACUAGAGAUUAGAGAGAGAGACAGAUGGCUCACAAACAGUUGUGCUGGGACUCUUAAUAAGUUUGCCCUCAACACUACUCAAAGAAACGCUUAUGUGAAACUUGAAUAAAUGAAGUACGUAUUUAUAGGGAUCAUAAAGUAAAUAAGUAUAUGUUCUUAUCAAUUUGAUACCAAUUGACAUGUUAAAAUGAUAGAUUCCAUAAAGUUGAUGCACAGCGUUUGUUCAACGUGCAUUUGCUUUAUUUUAUGCCCUAUAGUAAAGUACUACUAACACUUUUUUUUUUGGUCAACCCCUAACACUUAAUGACAUGUGAUUUUUCUAGGAUAAGUAGGAGAUAUUUUCAGUGUACUCGAAACAUAAGGUAGUAUACUACGUAUCAUUGUAUAAGUGGUGAGAUACUUGUAUUAUAAAAUUAACAACUUAAAAAGUAAUUGCUUAACUUUUUAUUCAAAACUAAGACCAUCUCCAACCCUGGGGUAAAAGCCAAAUUACCCCCCAAAUUACCCCCCCCCCAAACACUCUCUAAGACCAUCUCCAACCCUUGGGCUAAAAGCCAAAUUUUUUAGCCCGGAAAAUUUAGCUUUUAGCCCAGAAACAUCUUUUCUGCUCUAACCCUUCUACCCUAAAAUUUUAGCCCGGAAUUAUUAAAGAAUGAAAUUAGCCUAAAUUUUUUUCUUAAAUCAAUUUUUAAAAAAAAAAUAAAUAUGUAGAUUAUUGUAAAUUAAUUUUAUGAACGUUUUAAUCUAAAAAAAUUUAAAUUCCGAUAAACAUUUCGCAUUUAGCCCGGGGGGAAAGCUGGGGGGUAUUUGGCCCAGAAAUAGCAUUUGGCAUUCAGCCUAAAAUUUUAGCAUGGGUUGGAGAGUGUUUGGGGGGGUAAUUUGGGGGGAAAUUUGGCUUUUAGCCCAAGGUUGGAGAUGGUCUAACCCAUGCUAAAAUUUUAGGCUAAAUGCCAAAUGCUAUUUCUGGGCCAAAUACCCCCCAGCUUUCCCCCCGGGCUAAAUGCGAAAUGUUUAUCAGAAUUUAAAUUUUUUUAGAUUAAAAUGUUCAUAAAAUUAAUUUACAAUAAUCUACAUAUUUUUUUUUUAAAUUGAUUUAAGAAAAAAAUUUAGGCUAAUUUCAUUCUUUAAUAAUUCCGGGCUAAAAUUUUAGGGUAGAAGGGUUGGAGCAGAAAAGAUGUUUCUGGGCUAAAAGCUAAAUUUUCCGGGCUAAAAAAUUUGGCUUUUAGCCCAAGGAUUGGAGAUGGUCUAAGCCAAACCAUUGGUUUGGAUCGACAAAUUUGAGGUAUGCUACCACUGUUGUUAUCAAUCCGCAACUUUAUAAUGCUUGAUAUAUUUAUUAAUAUUAUCUAUUCUAAAGUUGAGCUACAGUCAAAUUUUAGCCCUUUGAUUUUGUUUUAUUUACACAAUGCUGCCACCCAAUCUGUGUUAGGCUGGGGUUUAGGCUCCCCCUUCUCUUCAUGAGCUUUGUGUUGGUUUCGCUAAGAAGCCCAGCCCUCAGUCAGGCCCUCAAUGAUUUAAUUACAGUUCUGCCAUCAAAGAUUACAAUUUGAUGGGGAGGGGGAGGGGUGAUUGAUUUCACAAGUGGAAGAGUGGGGAUGGUCAGAGAAAACCAUAUGUCCUCUUAUCAAUUUACAGAUGUAAUGGGUUUUUGUAUACCAAUCUUGGUUUUGUUUUCAUGGAAAAUUGUUUUGAUCUGAUUGUGGGUUCGUGGGUUUUGAUUUCUUUCAUUUGUUUCAGCUUGCAAAGCAAGAGGUUUUGACCUGACGGUUCAUUUCAAGGUACCGUUAUUAUUCUUUUUUGUUCUUAGAGUUUAAUGUUUCAAACUUUCGAAGUUACAUGCUUUUGGGUUUUUGUUUUAGGAUGUAAUGAUUUGGUUGUAAAAUGUGGGAUUUAUGUUCGGCUUCUGUUGCUUAUGUGAUGGUCUUCUCUGUUUUUAUUGGUGGGUAGAGAUUUGGUAUAUUCUGGGUCUCUAGAAAACAUAUAUAAAUUGUUUUUACAAAAUCCAUUCAACAUUUAAUUAACAUAACAACAUUCACAAUUUCAACCAAAAUUUCAAAAGCCACAGGGUAAACUUACAAUUAAAAAUUCAUAAAGAAAGAAAAUUGCAAUUAGAAGUCUAAUUUACAACAUUUACCUGGAUCACAAAGUUAUAUGUUCCAUUUGUACAUCCGUUUUCUGUAAACUUUUUAUUUUUGUUCCUGCGUUCGGAUUUUGAGUGUGGGUGUAGUUUUUUGGUGCUUUUGUGUAUAGGGUUUAUUGUAAUUGGAUUCUUUAGAACAUUUUACAGGAGUAUUAGGUAGCAAGUAUUUGGACAUGCUAAACAGUAUCUGCAUAUUCUUCUUAAACAUGACAUUUGGAGUCAACUUCUAAGUUCUCUGUUUGGUUUGAAACCUCCACAGCCAAUAUGGGCUGAAGCUGAAGGACCAGUUGGAAGUAUUAAUAUGAUUUUUUCUGCUUAACCUUCUUGCUCAUUUUUUUGGGAUUUUAGGCUUUCAGUUGCAAGGGUAACAAAGAACCCUAAAAUCCCAGAAAUCGGUAUUGGCAUUUGAAUUAAUGGAUUUCCAUUCUCUUCCAAAACAAUUUGUUAAUUGAAAAUUGUUUUCUUUCUGCUGAAGAUGGUGCUGAAAUUGGAUUUACGUAAUGACAAUGAAAAGCAAAAGGCGUUGAAAGCAGUCUCCGGCUUUACAUGUAUCAAUUUUUUUAAGCAUAUUGGUUUAAUUUGUCUAUGUGAAAAAUGGGAAAAUAAUACAAAUGUAAAAAAAAAUUCUGAGUUAUUUCAUUCAUCAGCACCUACUGAGUUCUUUGUAUUGGUUGAGAAUUUCUCUUUGAAGAGAGAGAGAGAGAAAGUGAGAUAUAUAAUUUCGUUCCUAUGAAGUUGUCGAAAAACAAAAAGAUUUGAGUUGAGUAGACCUAACUUACGAUGAAUCUUCGGUAAUAGUUCGCAUAGAAAAUGUUGAUUCUUAUUUAAAGGUAUAUGUAAUUCAAUUAGCGUACCUAUGGAAGAACAAUAGACUAGAUGGUUUAUGUCUGUCAAGUUCCAGAUGUUGAAUACUUAUUGAACUUCCUUUUCAAUAUAUAUGCAAAUUUGUGCUGAAGUUCCUCUCUAGGGAUUUUCAAUUGUAGUAGGAUUGAAUCGUUUAAAUUGCGGGAUUGUUUUGUUUGAUGGAUUUCAAUUGUGUUUUCAUUUAUAUAGUACUAAUGGAAUUUCAGGAAUUUGAGUCGUUGGAGGGAGAAGCUUGGUUCCUAAGGAUAUUGAGGUAUAUAAUUAUAUGCCUUAGUUUUAUUCAAAGCCUAUUUUAUAUGUAUUGUUGUGCAUGGUUAUCACAUUUAAAGUGGGUGUUCAAAAUUUAUUCAAUAGUCCAUGGUUUACCAUCUUGAUUACCUUCGUUAUUGAUUCUGGUUCAUUGGAAAAUUUAGUUGAAUUAGGAGGACAUGUUGCUUUACUUAGAAGACGCCUGGUUUUCUAAAUGUAUUGGUUGUAGCGCUAUGAGCCUCUAGGAUAAAGUUUAUGCCUGGUUAUACGAGAUUGAAUUUGUGUCAUGAAAGUCAAAUAUUUUGAGUUUAAUAUGGUUAUAUUCCUUGGCUUAAGCUUUAUUAUUUCUUCCUUCGUUUUCUUAAAAGAGGUUUGUUUGUACCAUACUUGACCAAUCCCGAAACUACCGAGCACCGAUCAAAGUUAUACCGUCAAGGACCCAGAAGAGUUUCCCUCCAACCAGGAGGCCAAUCACAGCGACACGUGUCGACAUCAGAAGCCAAUCAUAGUGCAACAUGUGUCAACAUCAGAAGCCAAUCACAACACAACACGUGUCAAUGUUAGAACAUUGCUAGAAACUCUCUUCUAUAAAAAGAGAUUAUUCUCCCACAAUAUUUCCUAAUGUCAUUUGUACUAAAUCAUUCACUAGUACUCACUAAAGGAAAGCUUGAGCCUAUGUACUUGUGUAAACCCUUCACAAUUAAUGAGAACUCCUCUACUCCGUGAACGUAGCCAAUCUGGGUGAACCACGUACAUCUUGUGUUUGUUUCGCUGUCUCUAUCCAUUUUCAUACUUAUCCACAUUAGUGACCGAAGCAAUCUAGCGAAGGUCACAAAGUUGACACUUUAUGUUGUACCAAAGUCUUCACUGAUUUUGUGCAUCAACAUUAGGCGCCGUCUGUGGCAAACGUAUUUAUUCCUACUCUCUCUUUUGACCAGGCAUCCCUAUCCAACAUGGGGAGCGAAGGAAGCCAUAGCACGUAGAACGACACCCACUCACACCUAGUGCGAAGCAAUGAAAAAAGGAACGAAAGAAGCUCAUUCUUCAAGCUAAAGUCGAGGAGUUGGAGGCUUAGAACAACAAGAUAGCAAUAAAGAAUGAGAUCAUUCAAGAACGAUAUGAGAAGCUCUUCGAGACGUUCCACAAAACUAGGCGUACUCAAACACGUGAGCUUGUUGCACAUGUGGACAUCAACCAUCAUCUGGGUGCCCUCAACACAGAGGGUCACCUUCCUUCGACAUGAGUAUCCUUGAUGAGGAACGAGCUAAUCAACAAAACAUUGAUCAACAUGAGACUUCUCUUAACCCAACUGCUUCAACCCGAAGUAGGAGAAGUGGAGGAAGACACCUCCUUGCAAAAGGGUUAUAAGAAUCGAAAGCCGUUUAUCAUGACUACCGAGACUUCCUAAAGUAAUGUUGAGAAAAUCCCUUCUACAUAAGCUCGAAGAUUAAUGACUCAAGGGUUUCUGAAAGACUCGGUCCCCUCCCACGACCCAGGCCAGCUUCCAAUUUAGGGAAGGAAUGACAGGUCCCAGAGGAACAUGAAGGUACAAAUGACUCAUAUGUAUUCCGAAAAACUCACCUUAGAAGUCAGUACGGCGAGUCCAAGGAAAAACCACACACUCUUGCUCAAACUUUCCUACUUCCAAGAGGCGAUGAAGACUCACGGAAGAAAAUUCCAGUGAUACAUGACUCCACUCAAGACCCCUUUGUCCUAUAGCUCCUUGAGGAAGUAAACAAGUUAAAGGCUAAACGUUAGGCCGAGAUACCUGACUGGAACCAACCCAAGCCUGGCCCUCUCAUAAGUAAGAUCCUCGACACCCCUUUCUAGGGAAGACUAAACAAAAGCUAGGUUUACAACUCUAUACUGGAAGGGAGAACCCGAUUGAACACCUUAACCUCUUUAAGUCCACCAUGGCAUAUCGGAUGCAGACCGACGAAGAGCGAUGUUUUCUCUUCCCUUCCACCCUCUCUGGCGGAGCUCUAAACUGGUAUUGUCGUCUUCCACCUGAGACAAUAGACUCAUUUGAGGAACUAAGAAAACUGUUUGUCUCUCAACACAUCUUCCAGACCGAUCACUUACAUUCUGCAGAUGACUUGUACACUAUUCACCAGAAGCCGGAUGAGUCACUACAAGAGUAUGUCGGUCACUUUAGCCAUGAGUAUUCUCGCUGCGCUGAGGCAGAUGAUAAGACCACCCUAAAGGCCUUCACGGUAGGCCUACAUGAUUGUUUCUUCAAAUACAUAAUCAUUGCCAACACUUGGAAGACUUACUCUGAGGUGAUGGCACAUGCUUACAACCAUGCUUUCGCUGAAGCAAUGACAUACCAAGGGAACCCCCAUAUGAUUAACCCCUAUCAACAAGUGGGAAGUGGAAGUCCAGUUCUACCAAGUGAGGGGAUCUUGGCCAUUCAGACACCCAUUGCAUCAUUUACUGCCCUAUUUAGCUACUUAUUAAGUCACCAAACAAAUUUUUCUCUUGGUAAGAGGAAGGAUUUUCUCUCAGCAAGCCCAUUACAACAAGAGGGAUAAAAGUUCGUAUCAAGACAAUCAGGGGUGAAUGUACCAUCGACUAUUAUGACUAUAGGGCCAAGCCUCACUCUUUCAAAGUGGAGGACUAGGUACUGACUGAAAUGCUAUUAUAAGAAGGCAUACACAUUAUAAAUGUUUUGACCCUUAACCGCUUGAGAUCUUUUGUCACACAAGUCAUUCGGCAAAUAUUUAAAAAAUAGGGAAUUCAGACAACUUCUUCUGAGUCUUUUGCAUUCCUAACACUGGAACACUUGGUUUACGCUGACCUACCUCUAUACUCUAACUCAGAGCUUCAACAUGCGUACUUUGACACAAAGUAUGUGAUACUAAGUGUUACAACCAACAUGGUUCACAUAUUGAAAGCAUGGAUCCCUUCAUGCAUAACAAAACUUUCAUAAGCAUCACUUAUGCCAAUCAACAUAAACAUCAUACAUUCCAAUACAUUCAUACAUAAACAUCAUACAUUCCAACACAUUCAUUCAUAAACUUCAUACAUUCCAACACAUCCAUACAUAAGCCAACUGUGCUUUGAAAGGGUUCAACAUACUUUGUGUCAUUCGACACUUGCUACAAUGUGCUUUGACACCUUGCCCUUUUUUCGUGCCACCAAUCAGGUGAUGAAAUGUACAACCCGUACUCUAAUAUUAUGGCAACUUGCCAUUCUUAUCACCAACUAGGUGAAGAAUGAACUCACUUUUGUGCCACCAACCAGGUGAUGAAAUGUACAACCUGUACUUUAAUAUUAUUUAGCAACUUGCCACUCUUAUCACCAACCAGAUGAAUAAAGAACUCACCUUCGUGCCACCAAUCAGGUGAUGAAAUGUAUAACAUGUACUCUAAUAUUAUUUGGCAACUUGCCACUCUUAUCACUAGUACCAUUGUACUGUGAUAACCAAUCGGCAAUUCGCUUGGCGGAAAAUCCAGUCUUUCAUGCAAGAACUAAACAUGUGGAGGUGCACUAUCAUUUCAUUAGAGAGAAUGCCUUGCAAGAAGAGAUUGAGAUGAGACAAAUCAAUACAGAUGAACAAGUUGCGGACUUGUUCACUAAAGGUUUGAGUACUGGCAAGUUUGAAAAAUUUCGUUGUCAACUCAACAUAGAGGAAAGAAUGAGCUAGUGUUAAGGGGGAGUGUUGAAGAUCAACACUAGCCCAAUUGGUGUUUGUGUUGAAGUGUAAUCUUGCCUUGGCCCAAGAUAGAUCCAGGCCAUGGACAAAGAAAGAUCCAUACAUAUGCUGGAGAAUUCUAGCAAAGUUCAAGUUGGUGGAAGAGUCUAGAAGAAUGAUUAGGUUUCCACCAACAUGCAAGAUUAGUAGUUAGUAGAAUUAUCUAGAUAUCUCUAGCAUGAUGAUUACAUGUUUUUCCAAGGUUCCAUCCAUGCCUAUAAAAGGAGAAGGCAUCCACACCAUUUGUAUCAAUCAAGCAACCAAUCAACCAACCAACCAAGUGAGAGUGAGAAGUAAGAGUAGUCUUGUGAGGAGUGUGAGUGAUCUAGAGUUUGUCUCUAGAAAGUGAGUGAGUGUCAUAGCUUCUCAAGUGUGUUCUUGAGAGUUUAAGUGUUGUAAUAUUUUGUGAGUGUAAUACAAGUAAUUUGUUUACUUGUUUUGUCUCUCCAACACUUGUGUUAGAGUUUUGUACUCUAAGUUUUUCCCCAACAAGUACAACCCCAAAAAAGGUAAAAUUUAGCAAAACCCUAUCUGAUUCUUUCAUUCGUAUGUCCAUCUUCGGGAUAAAAAGAAUUUGAGAGUAACAUCCCAGUAUGUUUACGUUCAAAACGAAAAUCACAGAUUCAACAAAGAAUAAGAGCAAUGGACAUCACAAAAUGCUCAGAUCCAAAAGGUAUAAAUCUUCAACCUGAUGUCCUGAAUAGUGCACUCUGUAUGAAUGGAUGGAUGGUUAUGUGAAAUCUGAAGGUGUUUGGUAAUUGAGUUUUUUAUAUGCAUGGAUUUGGAUUUUUGAUUUCUGGAUUUGGAUUUUGCAAGAAGGCAAAUAGGAAUUGAAUUGAAACUCCAAACCGUAAUGAAAUCCCGAAAUUUUUUCAAGAAUACCAAAAUUUCGGUUCAGUUUCAAUUUUCAAAAUCUUGUUCUGAAAGUGAUCGGUUUGGGAUUUGGGUUGUUAGUUUCGGUACGAAAUCCUGACCCAAACCACCCCUAACAAAGAUACAAAGUUUAAAGAGCAUCUCCAAUGUAACCAAGGGCAUUAGACCACUAUUAGCCCAAAACUGAAUAAAACAGUCUGCAAUGAAGAGCAUUUUGCAAAUGGGCAAAUUUUGGAGCUCAAAUCAGGCCCUAGAAGAACUAAAUAGUGUAAGCCCCCAGGCCAGGGCCGACCCUGAGAAUAUGAGGCCCUAGGCGAGCCUUCUAAGUGGGGUCCUAAAAUUCUCUGAUCUCCGGUUCUUUGUAUAUUGAUUUGUAUAAAAAAAAAAUUCGCUAAAUACAUAAAAAGUUCUAUUUUCACAUCAAAUAUCAUUAAAAAUUAAUAUCAAAAGAAGAUAAAUAUACAAACAUUAUUUAAACAUUACACGAUUCACGUUUUUAGACACAAAUAUACUAAAUGUUUGCAGUCAAAAGUUCAAGAUUGAGAGUGAAGAACAAUCAAACUUGAUGAUCAAGAGAGUAAAUAACAAUAAAACUUGAUUGACGAAUAUAAUAAAUUCAACGCCAAUUGUUUCUCUUGUGUUUUUUUUUUCUUCUAAAAUCAACAUCACACUAACAAAUUGAAUAUUAAAAUAAUCCAUUGAAUAAAAAGUUAUUGAAAAGAAAAAUAUAUAAUUCAAAGUUUUGAUUACCUUAAAGUACAAUCUUUAAGACCAUAUGAUAGUUGGUUUAAACAUUCAAUAGAAAUGGAGAAAAUGGGAAGUUGGUUUAAACAUUCGAUAAAAAUUGAGAGAAUGAGAAGUUGAAAGAAAAAAGAUUGCAAAGAGACUUGAGUUUUAUAACUUUAUAUGCAUUUGGACAGAUGGAUUGGGAGUUGGACAGAUGGAUUGGCAGUAAAUUUGAAAAACAAUAAAAAUCAAGAAAAAUCUAGUGACUAAAAGGCAGCUUCAUGUUUCGAACUCAACACCCCAAAGAAAAAUGAAGCCAACAUUUAGACUGCACUAACAAAUGAAUUAUGAUAUUUCUUACUUUGGUAUAUAUUUAUAUGUUAAUUACAGGAUAUAAAAAUUUUUUGGGCUCUUCCAAAGUGGGGGCCCUAGGCGGGCGCCUACUUGGGCUACCCUCAAGGCUAGCCCUGCCCCAGGCAUUUGAACAUUUCAUUUUCUUAGAACCCACUACUUAGAAAUGAUUUUUUUUUUGCUAGAUUGAUGUAGAAAUAUUUGGGAUAUACUAAAAACCAAGGUUUCAAAAGACGCUAGGUGCUAGUUUGGCUGUGAAUUAGUGCCUAGCGCCUAGGUGGUUAGGCGGGAACUAGGUGGAUUAGGCAAAUUUAAGUAAACUUAGUAUAAUUGUUUUGAGAUACAUAAAUUGAAAAAGAGAAUGACAUAUAGAUUAAAAAGUAUUAGAACAUAUUGAAAACAUGGAGAACUAGAAUAUAAUGAAUGUUCAUCCAAGUAUUUAAUAAGUCGCUUACAAUUUAUUAAAAAAAUAAAAUGCAAAAUAAAAGUUAUCUAUUUUUUGUCUAAGUGAGAGUCACGACCUCAGUGGGUGCCUAGACGGGUGUAGGUGGGCGUCCUUCCUUAAUUUUUAAAUACCUAGGAAUUAGUCGAGGUGAUAACUAGCUGCCGAGAGCCUUAGCAGCACUAGCAAAGAUUUUUAGAACAGUGAUAAAAAACUAAUAAAAAUAUAAUUUUAUAUUUUUAGGACUAAAAUAUGAGAUGUAAAACUCACACUUACAUCCUUGAAAAGAAAAUGAGAUUUAAAUGUGAUUUUUAUACUCACAUUUGCCAUCUGUACACUAAAAAUUCUCAAUGCAUCUCCAAUCAUGCAGAGAUGCAAAUUUGAAACGUAAAGUAGCAAUAAAGAUGGGGCUCUAUUUUCUUUUAGUCAAUAAAUUUGUAUUUUAUCACAAAAAAGAAAAGAAAAAUAUUAUCCAUUUUUGGAAUUAAAUCUAAUUUUCCCUAAAAUAAAAUAUAGCAAAAAGUGUGUCUUAUAGCCUUAGUUGUUGCAGUCAUAUUUAGAAUAGGAAUGUGAUUGUGUAAAUCCUAGUAGAUAUAGAAAUGUAUCUUAUAUUCCUAGUAGGAGUUGAUUACCUAUUAAGAGUUGUAAUCCUAAAAGUGUAAGGUUUUUACCUAUCCAACUACUAUAAAUAAAGGCACAAUAGGGUGAUACAAACACACCAAACAAUUAAAUCAUUCUCUCUUCUCCCUCAAUACCGUCGGCCCCCUCUCUCUAAUCCCUUAGAUUAGUUCAAUCAAAUAGGCUUAUAACACGUUAUCAACAUGCUCUUGCCAAAAGCUGAGGAAUUGACGGAUCGUAGGAAGAGGCUAUCUUCCACAAAAUUCAAAGGUACUUCUUUGUUUUAUGCCAAUUAGGUACAGUUAAAAUAAAGGAAGAUAUUUGAAACGUCCACGAAUCAUGAAAACAUUCCCCAUGAUGCAUGAACCUCUCUAUGUUUAUAUUUUCAUUCCGAUAUAUAUAUAUAUAUAUAUAUUGUAUAUAUUCAUAUAUUUGUCAAUAUAUAUUUGUUUCAUGCAUUACGCAAUUAAAUUGCUUUGUGGAAUUUGUGAGCCAAAGCAUAUAAAUAAAUUAAAAGCAAUUUAUAGUUUUUCAAACCCUAGGGAUUUCGAAAAAAUAAAAAAGGAAAGCAAAAUUGGGCAUGGUGCAGCACCACUGCCGUGGCACCACCGUCGACAACACCAUGCACCGUCGCUGGCCUGAAGCCCAGCUGCAUGGACUAUUGCAGUAGCCCUUUGGGCUUCCUACUCGUGCACACGACAACCGGGCUUCAGCCUAGGGUCAGUUUCAACGGGCCUAAAGCCCCAAGCCCACCUACAGCUUAGCCCAACUUGCCAGCCAACCUUUGCACUUGCUGGGCUUUGGCCUCAGCCCACAACCAAACAGCUAGCCCAGUAGGUUUGGUUUCUUCCCCAGCCCAAAAACAAGGCUCCAACUUCAGUUAGGCCUUCUGUGUCCUAACCCAUAAGCCAACUUUGGCUGGGUUUGUCCAUGCGCGCCCCUUUGGCCCAAUACCAGCAGCCUUGGCUGCUAGGCUCACCUAGUUCCCUCGGCUCGUGGGCUGCCUUUUUAAAUAAUUUUAACCCGAAUGUUAUUAUUAUUUUGGCUUCCACAAUCAACCAUGUUUGGUCCCGAUCUAUUGAAUUAAUUAAAAGUAACCUGCAAUCCAUUGAUCUGAUAAUGAAUCCAAAAUUAUUAACCUAAAGAUCACUUUUGGACAUUAACGAUUCAAUAAUUUAUUUUUAUACUUUGAACCGUUGACAUACUUUCGUAGUAACGAAGCUCUCACGCUUGAGUUCCCAAAGAAACUCAAAUCCAUUACACUUAAAUCAACAUAUUGCAUUCUGUGUUUCUUGCAGGAACCUCUCAUUUAUGAACUAAUCAUUCAUAAAAACUAAAUUGAACUGUAGUUUCAUAUUUAGUGCCUUUGAAAUCCGAAAUUUUCAUUCAAAACAUACCACAUGAAACCUAUAGUUUUCAUGCAUAAAUUAAACAAAUACAUGUCUAUAGAACCCGAAUGUUCUACAAUAUAUAUCUAUGGAUCACCAUAUGGCUAAUCACAUUUUUUUGUACCCUUCGUUUUAGGGACAUGUCGAACUUGAACAAGCUCGAUUUCACCACUCUAGAAGUAUCUGGAAGAAACUACCUGAAGUGGGUUCAAGACGUGAAGCUUCAUCUUACUGCAAAAGGUAUUAGAGCCACCAUUGAGGCACAUACCGAUGACAAACCUAUCGACGAAGAUCAGAAAGCUAAUGCAAUGAUCUUCAUUCGAAGACACAUCCAUGAUGCGCUGCAGACUAAGUACCUGAGGAAGACCCACACACCUUCUAGCUUGCUUUGGCCAACCAUUUCGAUCACCAGAAAGACAUCUACUUACUUGAAGCAAGACAUGAUUGGCUUCAUCUUUGCUUCCAAGACUUUAAGUCCGUGAAUGAAUACAACUCUGAAGUUUGUAAAAUUCGAUCACAGCUGAAAUUCUGUAAAGUGGAACUAACCAAAUCAGAUAUCUUGGAGAAUACCUAUUCAACCUUCCAUGCCACCAAUAUUGUCUUGCAACAAUAAUAUAAGGCACAAAAGUUCACCAAAUUUUUUUAUUUGAUCUUUGUUUUACUUCUCGCUAAAAAGCAAAACCAGCUUUUGAUGAAGAAUCAUCAAACUCAACCGACUAGUUCCAACGUCGCACCUAAAGUGCUGCGACCAAUUCUAGCAACCACAAACGACGCAAGAAUCAUCGUGGCCAUGGAAAUGGGUAACAAACCCAACCACGUGCCCAAGAUCAACAGAGCACCGACCCCAAGGGAGGAAAUGUGACCCAACAGCAUCCACCACUUACCCCUAAGGCCUCAAACUUCAAGAACAAGGAAAAAGCUCUCGUUCAGUCAACUUCCAGUAAAAUGGACAUGUGAUACCAUUGUGGAUCAAAUUAUCAUUGGUCACGCGUAUGCCGAGCUAUCCCUGAGGCUAUUGCCAAGUAUCAUGCAGGUCGUGAGUCUAACUUUGCACAUGUGGAUCAUUCGGAAUAUGCUACUACAUCUAUAGAGAUAUCGGAUUUUCAAGAGGCUUCAGCACCUAUGGACGAAUAAAUUAGACAUGUUUUAGGGUGUUUAUGCCUAGUGGUUGAAACCACUAGGAGUAGCGGCCUAUCUCCCCUAUUUUCCUAGGUUUAUGGUUUAAUUUUGAACAAUUUUUCUAAGUAUUUGGAAUAAUUUGUUUGGUUUUGGUUUUUUUUUGAAAUAUGGAUUGUUAUUUGAUGGAUAUUAUUUCUUGAAUUGCUUAAUUGAAUGAAUGGAAUUAUAUUUAUGCAUGUGACCAAUUCAAUCAAUUUAUUUCUAAGUAUGUCAAGUGGGGAAGUUAGUUUUUUGGUUGAUUGUACUACCACGCACACCAUCUUGUGUGAGCGACAUUAUUUUACUAACUUUAUACCCAAGAAAGCUAUUCUAACAACUUUCUCAGGCCCAUCCAACCUAAUUGAAGGAUACGAAAAGGCUCGUAUCAUGUUGUCCAAUGGUAUAAUCUUAACCAUUAAUGAGGCACUCUACACGUUCCGAAAGAACGUUGUUGAGUUUUAGAGAUAUUCGUGAUAAUCAAUAUAAUAUUGAAACCACUGAAGAUAAUGGUUCUGAAUUUCUUUGUAUCACUUUGUACAAAUAUGGCCAGAAACAUAUUAUUGGAACGUCUCCCGAGUAGGUUGUACAUCACAACCAUUUGAGGCAUAGAAGCCCAUUAUAUGGUCGGCCCUAUGCCUAAGUUCCAGGACAGUUUGGAACAUCCCAGAUGUAUAUGAUGCACCGUAUCCUCAAAUCAUCACAUGGGCAUCGGUUACCUCCCUAUGUUGCAUUCCCUCCAUGCAAAGCUUAUUCUUUAAGGAAGUUAAAUACUUAAUUCUCAAUUACAAAGAUCAUGCACAACCUCCCCCCGUAAGUUUCUUCAGAUGAUUCAAAGGGACAUUUGUGGACCUAUCCAACCAAAAUGCGGACCAUUUAGAUAUUUUAUGGUGUUAGUUUAUACAUCGACACGAUGGUCACAUGUUUGCCUGUUGUCCACACGCAACGCUGCAUUUGCUAAACUCCUAGCACAAAUUAUUAAGCUAAGGGCUCACACCCUGAUUAUCCGAUUAAGCUGAUUCGAUUGGAUAACGCUAAAGAGUUUACGUCACAGACUUUUAACGAUUGUUGCAUGUCAGUAGGGAUUGAUGUGGAACAUCAUGUACCCUAUGUUCACACCCAAAAUGGCCUAGCAGAAGCUUUCUUAAAGCGCCUUCAAUUGAUAGCUCAGACUUUGGUUAUGAGAACCCAACUGCUGAUAUCUGCCUGGGCUAUGCAAUAUUGCACACAACUAUGUUGGUCAGCCUGAGGCCCACCCCUACCCAACCACAUUCACCGUUACAGUUGGUUACUGGAUACAAGUCUGACAUCUCACAUUUACAGGUGUUUGGAUGCGCCAUUUAUGUGCCAAUAGCACCACCACUAUGUACCAAAAUGGGUCCUCAAAGAAAAAUAGGAAUCUAUGUCAGUUAUAAUUCGCCAUUAAUUGUUCGCUAUUUAAAACCCUUGACAGAAGAUCCCUUUGCCGCACAUUUUGCGGAUAUCACUUUGAUGAGACAAUCUUCAUGUCGUUAUGGGGAGAUAAGCAUGCUAACGUUCCUGAAUAAUGCCAUAAAUUGUCAUGGUAUGCUCCCACUACGUCUCAUUUAGAUUCCUGCACUGUCUAGUUUAAAACUGAGCUGAGACAAAUUAUAGUUCUUCAGAGCAUUACACAGAGCAUGCCAGAUGCUUUUAAUGAUCUAGCUAAGGUGACAAGAUCACAUAUACCCGCUACAAACACACAUGCAAGGAUAGAUGUACCCCGCGUACAUCAAUAACCAGUCUGGGAAGGCUGAACCUUCCCCGAAGAUAAGGAGGCCCCACCUUCCACACGGCACGUAUAUUAGCAGUUAGCCAAUCAUUUGCUCUAACCCUGAAGCAUGGCAAAUCCCUUGGUUCAAAGGAUUCACAACCCCGAAAUAGGAAAACAGCACCAACUAGUGACCCUAGUUUGAAUCGACCAUCGCUUACUCAUCCAUUCCAACGCAUGAGGUUAUUCUAGAUUACAAUGAUGUCUUAGACGAGACAACCCAGCCUCUAGAGAAUCGUGAGAUUUCGGUCCAUACGCAGUAUUGGAUGAGGUUUGGAAUCAGAAUGAGAUGAUCGUCGACGAUGUAUUUGCGUACACAGUAGCUACUGACAUCAUGCUUAGUGAUGUCAUUGAACCACGUUCCAUUGAUGAAUGCCAACAUAGAACAGAUUGGUCAAACUGGAAAUAAACAAUCCAGGUCGAACUCGAUUCACUCACGAAACAUAAAGUGUUUGGACCUAUUGUUCUUACACCACCACGCAUGAAACCCGUUGGCUACAAAUGGAAUUUCGUAAGGAAACGUAAUGAGAUGAAUGAAAUUGUGCAAUACAAAGCACGCCUCGUAGCACAAGGCUUCUCUUAGCUCCCUGGGAUUGAUUACGAUGAGACGUAUUCCCCUAUAAUGGAUGUUAUAACGUUCCGCUACCUUAUCAGUUUGGUAGUUUCCAAAAAACUGAAUACGCAGCUUAUGGACGUGGUAACCGCGUAUCUCUAUAGGGAUCUAGAUACGGAAAUAUACAUGAAUGUUCCAGGAAGACUUACAUUGACUAGUUCAAAUAGUUCUAGACCACGGAACACUCUCUCAAUUAGGUUGAGAAGGUCACUCUACGGAUUGAAACAAUCCAGGCGGAUGCGGAAUAACCGUCUGAGUGAAUAUUUAACAAGUCAGGGUUAUGUGAACAACGAAUUAUUCCCAUGCAUGUUCAUAAAGAAGUCACAUUCUGAAUUUGCAAUCAUUGCAAUUUAUGUCGAUGACAUGAACCUCAUCGGAACUCCUGCAAAGCUUGAAGAAAUUGCUACGCACUUGAAAUUGGAAUUUGAGAUGAAGGAUCUUGGGGAAACUCGAUACUACCUCUACUUGAAGAUCGAGCAUUGUUCGGAUGAAAUCCUAGUACAUCAAUCGAAAUACACCCAAAAGGUGUUGUGUCGUUUUAAUGAGGAUAAAGCGAAGCUUUCAAGUACUCAUAUGACCUUUCAGACUUUAGAUGUUAAACGAGAUCCCUUCUAUCCAAAUGAGGAUAAGGAUGAGAUUUUGGAACCCAAAGGUCCAUAUCUAAGUGCAGUUGGGGCUUUAGUGUACUUGGCUCAACGCACUAGACCCGACAUCUCCUUCACUAUUAAUCUUUUGGCAAGAUACAACAAUGCGCCCCACACACAGGUACUAGAAUGGUGUUAAAGAUAUUUUCAGCUACCUCAAGGGUACAACGGAUUUGGGCUUGUUCUAUACACAUGAAUCUUCGAGUGUUGCCGCCUCAUAUGGUUCUCGGAUUGAUUCUCACGUUGUUAGUUACGCAUAUGCUAGAUAUCUGUCCACCCAUAUAGGGCAUGUUCUCAAACAGGCUAUGUCUUUACCGUUAAAGACACCGCUAUAUCUUUAAGGUCUACCAAGCAAAUGCUAGUUGUGACUUCUUCGAACCAUACUGAGAUUCUCGCCCUGCAUGAAGCAUCGCGUGAAUGCUUUUGGCUGAAAGCAGUUAUGGAACAUAUUAGAAGCAUUAAUGGUCUUACAUCCAUCGUUGACCUUCCAACGACGAUCUUUGAAGACAAUGAAGCAUUUAUUGAGCAGUUAAAGAAGGGAUACAUCAAGGGAGACAAUACCAAGUACAUAUCGCGAAUAUUCUUUUACUCACACCAACAGCAAUAGCAUCAAAAAAUUGAAGUUAAGCAAAUUUGUUCCCAAGAGAACCUGGUCAUUCUCUUCACCAAGUCAUUGCCCAAUUCUACUAUUCAGAAGCUCGUCCAAGGAAUCGGUAUGUGUAAAUUAUCUAAGUUGAAUCACUUGUAGUUCUCUUAUUUAAAAGUUAUGUCUAACUCUGGGGGAGUAUCCUAAAACAUACUACUUGAUCUUAAUGUACUCUUUUUCCUAUGAUUAGGAGCAUUUUUUCCACUGGGUUUUUUUCUACCUAACAAGCUUUGAUGAGGCACCCAUCCUGGGAUGAUCAUACUCUGUUGAGUUCACUACUUUCGUCAUGUCUGACGUUUGUUUUAGACACUAUGCAUAUUUCUCACUUUUAUCCUUAGCCUAUGGGUUUUUCCUCAUGCCUUGGGUUGUACCAUAGUGAGGUUUUGUGAGUUUCACUACCAAUGCAUACUUUCUUUACAUUUGAGAUUCGCAUUCACCCAUUGUGCCAAUGACUGCAUCAACUAUUCUACCUUAUCUGCUAAAGAUCUGAUGCAAUUGUUUGUUGAGUAUUUACACACUCAAGGGGGAGUGUUACAAUCAUAUUUAGAAUAGGAAUGUGAUUGUGUAAAUCCUAGUAGAUAUAGGAAUGUAUCUUAUAUUCCUAUUAGGAUUGAUUACCUAUUAAGAGUUGUAAUCCUAAAAGGGUAAGGUUUUUGCCUAUCCUACUACUAUAAAUAAAGGCAUAAUAGGGUAAUACAAACACACCUCACAAUUAAAUCACUUUCUCUUCUCCCUCAAUACCGACAGCCCCCUCUCUGUAAUCCCUUAGAUUGGUUCAAUCAAAUAAGCCUACAACACUAGUCUUAUUUUCUUUUUUUUUUGCAUAACCCAACUCUUUGAGAUUGGGCUUUUAUUUCUGGGCUUGAACACGAACCUCAUCCAUAAAGCUUUCAUCUUUCUAUGCACAAGAGGAUUCAACUUCCCCCCAACCAACGAAAUGCUUCUGGCGCACGAGAUUAUGGUUUGUGCAUCCGAGUUCAGUUCUUACAAUGUUUAGGCUCCUCCUCCUCCAAUGAGAGUAUAUGUUGAACGUUCUCCACUAGCAUCUUGUCCAUAAGACUUUCCCUAGUAUCCAGAUCGCUAACAAACCUAGUAACGUAAAGAUCCCAAGAAGCAAUGUUUGUGCCUCCACUUGACAUUUCCAUUGAAACAACUUCUGUGACUUCAGCUUCUGCUCCUAAGUCACAGAGCCCCUCAAUCAACAUAUUAUAUGUAGACUUGUUAGGCAAGCAGCCUUUAUCCAUCAUCUCUUCUAAAAUCUUAAUACCCUCAUCUGGUUUUCCAAUCUUACAAAAUCCUUUGAUCAACAUACUAUACGUAAAAGAAUUCGGAGCACACCCUUUCUCCACCAUGUCAUUCCACAACCUCCCUUUCCUCACAUAACUCCCCCACUUCACACAUUCCCGCAAUAAGCAUGUUGUAAGUCAUGACGCUUAGAAUCAAAUAUGUGCCAAGCUGAUCAAACAGUUUCUUAGCUUCCCAGACUUUUCCCUUCUCACAAAACUAGUGUAUGAGCUUGCUUGAGAUUGGAUUAUCUAGUGUGCAAUUUUUCUUUAAAAGCUUCUUCCACAAUUCAUGACCAUUCUCCACCUUCCCUUCUCGACACAAAACAUCAAUCACCUUACAGCAAAGCGCCAAGCUUGGUAUAUACCCUUUCGCAAUCAUAUCACUGAGCAAAAUAACCGCUUCACACGACUUCUUAUCCUUACAGUAAGCUUCAACCAUUACCCCAUAAGUAACCUCAUUUGCUCCAACCUUAUUUUCCUCCAUAUCAUCCAUGACCUUAACGGCAUCAACCAACUUCCCUUGCUUAACAAACCCAUCCAUCAAACCUGUAUAAGUAGUCGUAUCCGAAUACCACCCUCUAUCCAAAAUCUACCCAAAAACCCUCCUGGCGCCAACCAUAUCACCCCGCGAAACAUACCAGCCGAUAAUCGUGGUAUAAGUCACCAUAUUCGGGACAAACCCCAUCGCAGGCAUUUCGUCGAGCACCUUAAGUGCAGUCUCCACAUCAUUCUUUUUGCAGAGCGCUUUGAUCAGUAUAUUACAAGUGGACAAAUUGGGCCUAACCUCAAAUCUCUGCCCACAAUUUUUUAACACAGAGUGAACAAAACUAAACUCAUUGUUCUGAACCAGAUAGUUCAACAAUGCAUUCAGGGCCUUCGCAGAACGUUGAACUCCAAAAUUUAGCACGUCGAGAAAGGCUUUGAAGGCGAGUUUGGGGCGACCCAAGACGCCAAAAUUGCGAAUUAGGGUGAUGAAAAUGUCUUCAGAGCAUUGGAUUUGUGAGUUUUUGAGGUCGGAGAGGAGGGGGUCGAUCAUGGGGUGGAAAGAGUGGGAACGGGAGAGGCGGUUAAGGAUGGCGUGGUAGGUAUGGUAAUUGUGUGAGAAUCCGGGGUGGAAUUUGGAGGCGUGGAAGAAGAUUUUGAGGGCGAGGUCGAGGUUAGGUUGGUGAGCGAUAAGGGAGAUGAGGAGUUUUGGGUAGAGCCAUCAGGGCCAGCGUUGGAUUGGAAGGGUCACGGUGUAGGAGUGGAGGAAAUCGACGGUGGGGGUUGGGGUGGAGGUGGAGGCGGAGGAGGAAAAGGAGACGGUGGUAAUAGAGUGCAGGAGAUAAGAGGGUUUGGCUGAGAUCUUCAGACACAGCAUGUUGAAGAGUUGAAGACACUGGCAUCCGCGAAUGGCCUCCACAUUUGAACAUUAUAUGACCAUUGUUUCGAAUUUUACUACCCCAAGAUUUGGGUCAUGGCCAGUAAAGAUGUUUAGGCCAUCUCUAACCGAAUGGUCUAGAGGGCCAGAGGGUCAAAAAUAGCCUGAAAAUCGUCUCCAACCGAAAGCUAGGCCAGAGGGCUCAUGGAAUCUGAGAGGGCCCACUACUACAAAAUGGACUUAUUGUGUCACUGGGUGAUGUCGCUUUAAUAUAAUAUAGUGGAAGACAAGACAUUUGCGACACCUACUAAACAUGACGUCAGAUUUAUUAUCGCUUGUAAGCGUCAUAAACUGUCUAUGUCGCUUUUAACCGACGUAAACAUUUAAUGUCGCUUUUAACCGAUAUACAUUUUAAUAAUUUUUAAAUAAUGGUGUUGCUUUAAAAAAAAUAGUGUCGCUUCUAGCUGACACUAAUUAUUAUCUUUAAAUAUUUUAAAGCCUGCAUGAGUUCUCAGCGACAUAGAAUUUUUUUUUUUAAUAUUUUGAAACCCAGUGUCGAUUGUAAGCGACAUAUUAAUGGUCUUUAUAUACUAUCCCCUGUGUUUUCUUCUUCCUCUCUUGCAUCUUUCUUAAGGAUGAGUUUGUGAGGUGGCACACAACUAGGCCUGGUAAACGAGUCGUGUCUAUCGUUUUCGUGUAACACCUGUUAUCUUAACGGGUCGUGUCGUUUCUCAACCAUUAUCUUAACGGAUCCUUAACAGGUGACCCGUUAUGACCCGUUAAGAAAAAAAAAUUCUUAAAUUUGCAUAUACCACACAUUGCCACAAAAAUAUUACUUCAAACCAUUAAAACACAUUUGUCGUUUAAGUACUACAUCUAUACUCGAAAAUAAGAGCCUAAUAAACAAACAUCUAUACACUACUACUCUAUUACAAAAUGUUAAAUGUGCAAGGAUAUGCAAAAUGAAAGAGUUUUUGUUUUCAAGGUUGUGAAGCCUUUCUCAAAAGUUUAAACUUUGCCAAUGGAACUCAAAGCUUGCAUGUUAUUCUUUUUACAAAAUCCUCAAUUUUCAUCGAUCAUCAUGACAUAAGAUUUUGUGGUAUCCACUUCUGUCAAUAUUUUAAUUGAAAUCUUAAAAUGUUAUAUGAGAUAAAUUUUAUUCAUCGAUCAUCAUGACAUAAGAUUUCGAUCUUCAAUUUAAAAUAUUUACACAAGUGGAUACCACAAAAUCUUAUGUUAUACUUAACGAAAGUAUAAAUAAACGUGUUAGUGAAUAUAUCGUUUUGAUGGGAUAAGCAUCCUACGAAACUAAUUUCAAUGAUCCAACCGUCAAACUUGUUUGUAUAUGCUUUGAGAUCACAUACGCCAAAAAUCACAAAAAACAAAUAUUCAGAGAUCAAGUAACGGGACAAAAUUUUUCGAAAGUUAUAAACGAAAAAUCACGAUUUAACGGUUAUUUUAACUCCGAUUUUGAUUAUUUUUUACAGCUACACUCCUUGACCCUAUAUGAAUACAAUGAAUGAAUUCGAUCUUCAAUUUAAAAUAUUUACACUAGUGGAUACCACAAAAUCUUAUGUUAUACUUAAUGAAAGUAUAAAUAAACUCUAAGUGUUAGUGAAUCUAUGAUUUUGAUGGGAUACGCAUUCUACAAAACUAGUUUCAACAAUCCAACCGUCAAACAUGUUUAUAUAUAAUUCGAGAUCAUAUACACAAAAAAUUGAAAAAAAAAAAACAUUCAGAGAUCAAGUAACGGGACAAAACUUUUUGACGGUUAUAAAACGAAAAAUCACGAUUUAACGGUUAUUUUAACUCCGAUUUUGAUUAUUUUUUAUAGCUACACUCCUUGACCCUAUAUGAAUACAAUGAAUGAAUUUGAUCUUCAAUUUAAAAUAUUUACACUAGUGGAUACCACAAAAUCUUAUGUUAUACUUAAUGAAAGUAUAAAUAAACUCUAAGUGUUAGUGAAUCUAUGAUUUUGAUGGGAUACACAUCCUACAAAACUAAUUUCAACGAUCCAACUGUCUAACUUGUUUGUAUAUGCUUCGAGAUCAUAUACCCCAAAAAUCAAAAAAAACAAACAUUCAAAGAUCAAGUAACGGGACAAAACUUUUCAACGGUUAUAAACGAAAAAUCACAAUUUAAUGGUUAUUUUAACUCACAAUUUAAUGGUUAUUUUAACUCUGAUUUUGAUGACUUUUGAUAUCUACACUCCUUGACCCUAUAUGAAUACAAUGAAUGAAUUCAAUCUUCAAUUUAAAAUAUUUACACUAGUGGAUACCACAAAAUCGAUAUUUUAUAAUAAAAUUAUAUUUAUGAAUGAAUUCGAUCUUCAAUUUAAAAUCGAUAUUAAUUAUUUUAUAUAUUUUAAAUAUUAAUUAGACUAUGUUUCAAUUAGUAUGUGAUGAUAUUUUAUAAUAAAAUUAUAUUUAUGUUUUUUAUUACGUAUUUUAUUUAAGUUAAAUUUUAUUUAUUAAAAUCUUAAAAUGUUAUAUGAGAUAAUUUGAAAUGGAUGGAUAAACAUUAGGCGGGAAAUGGAUGGAUAUGUUGAAAUAUUAGGUGGGAAAUUUCCCGCUCGAAAUGUAUUCUCAAACUUAGUGUUGGUUUUAACCGACGUUAUUAUCUUUUAAUUCGACACAAGUUUCAUUAAACUGACGCUACAUGAAUUUCAAAAAGUGUGUCAGAAGUUGGUGUCGGUUAAGACCGACACCAACAUUAAUUUAAAUCGACGCCGUAUUUUCAAUAAAGAGUACCAAAAAGUUGAUUGGUUCAUUUAACUCGACGUGAAUAGCAGUAAAGUGUGUCAGGUUGGUGUCGGUUAAAACCGACGCCAUGUACAUUUAAUCUGACGUCAGUCAAUUAAUGUCAGUUUAAACCGACGCCAACUCAGUACCCAUAUUUAAACCCCUCUCUUUCCCAUUUCAUCUGUGCUUUCAUUUCUCCCCCAAUUUCAGUCUUUCUUCUUCUCCUUCCCCAUUUCAUACGUGCGUCCCUUUCUUUCUCCUUUUCUGUUUUUCCUCUUCUCCUUCCCGAUUUUCUAUGGAUCACCAUUUUGAAGAUCAACAUUCUAAGGAACUCCAAUUCGAAGAGGAAGAGCUCGAAGGUGGUUCAUUUUUAAAUUAUUAUGAUUAUUAAUUUUAGUUUCUAUUUUUUAUUUUAACUAGUUUUAUGCUUAAAUUGAAAAUUUAUUUUUGUUUCUUGGUUUUUAAUUGUUUUUUAUGUAUUUAUAAGGAUCAACUCAACGGAGAUGCGGACCCUCAAUUUCGAAUUGGAAAGAACAUCCUUGUUCGUUUGAUUCGCCUGGAAAAUGCAUUAGUAAUAAUUCUAGUGCGUUUUCAAAACAUGUAGCGGCAGAGGUUAGAGAUUACAGAAAUAUUCUGAUGGUGGCAUACUGGAAUAAAGAAAAAACAAAGGUAAACGUUUCAUGAUUUAUUUUAUUAUACCUUGAAAUUUGUCUAAUAAAUUCUUUUAUUUUUCAGGAGAUAGCCUAAAAAAAUAAGCAUAAUCGGUAGUUGAAAACUAUGAACCAUACAACCAGUUCAAAAUCUUUUGCAAGAGUUCGGGAAGAAUUUUUAUGGGUUGUACAUUUUUAGGAAUUGUAGUUAAUUUUAAAUUUAAUAUAUAGUUGGUAGAAGUUUUAUUUUUAAUAUGAAGUUUGCUUAAAAUUGUUUGCUUUUUCAUUGACAUAUGGUGGGAUUUAUUUUUAUAUAAUUUUUUUAAUUAUUAUUAAUUAAAAAUGAAAAAAUAUUUUUUUAUUAUUAAUAUAUUUGGUGUCGCUUAUGAACGACAACAUAAUAAUUAUUUUAUGUAUCCAUAUUUUAUAUAAUGUCGGUUAAAACUGACAGUAGUUUGAGUAUUUUAUUUGUUUAACUGUUACGUGAUGUCGUUUAAGACCGACAGUAGGUUUGAUAUUUUAAUUCUUUAAUUGUUGGUUGAUGUCGCUUAGAACCGUCAUCAUGUCAGAACUUAACGUCGCUUCUAACCGACGUAAUGUUGGAUGUCAAGCGACACUGUUAUUCUUUUUUAUUUUAUAUUACUUUGCUUCUUGGUGGCGGAUUAAAGCGACUAACCGACGUCAAUACCCUUUUGGUAACGGUAGCAAUGGUGUCGCUUCACCUAUCCGACAUUGCACGACUUUAUGUCAAAUUUUUACCAAAAAUCUGACAGUAAUUGGGUUUUAUUGUCGGUUUUUACACCGCCAGUGAUAGCCUCUUUUGUAGUAGCACCGCCAGUGAUAGCCUCUUUUGUAGUAGUGGCCCCACGGAAUUUGAAAGGGCCAAAGGGCUGGAAGGCUGGCCAGAAAAAACAUUAAUCAUGUCGGUUAUAAUCAACAAGAAUGCUUAAGCUAAAAUUCAAAUGCAACGGCUAGCUGAUGCCGUUGCAUUUGAUUUUUUUUUUUUAACAAUUUGAUUUUUUUUUAUUUACAAAAUUUUUCGUAUAACUUCUAUUUUUCAUAUUUUUUCUUAAAUUCUAUUUUUUUUUUCCUAUAACUUUUAUUUUCCAAAAUUUGUUUCAUAUUUUUUUUAAAUUCCAUUUUUUCCUAUAACUUCUAUUUCACAAAAUUUGUUUUAUUUUAUUUUAAAUUCUAUUUUUUUUCCUAUAACUUCUAUUUCACAAAAUUUGUUUCAUAUUUUUUUUUAAAUUAUUUUUUUCCUAUAACUUCCUAAGCCAUUAUACAACAUUAAAUUAAAUUAAGUAACAUGAAACAACAUUAAACAAUAUGAAACAACAUUGAAUAACAUUAACCAACAUACAAAUUAUUAUACAACAUAAAAAAAACAUUUAACAACUUGAAACUUAAACAACAUUUUUAAAAACAUUUAACAACAUAAAACUUAAACGCCUACUCCAUUCUUCUUUUGGCGACCACCAACAGAGCCAUCCCAUUCAAGUUGUCUAUUGAAAGAUAUUGAAUUGAAAGAGAUUGCAUUAAAAUAGAUUGAAUUCAAAGUUGUGUGAAUUAUAACCCAAUAUCCACCCUAUUUAUAGCCCAAAAAAAUUCAAAUCCAACGGCUAGCUGACGUCACUUAGCUGUUGGAUUUGAAUUUAAGUUGUAGUUUUUAAAUAAUAAAUUAUGUUUGGCCAUAUGGCCCUUUGGCCCUCGGUUGGAGAUGGAGGCAAAUAUGGUCAUGUAUUGUUCAUUAAAUUAUUAAUAUCUUGGAGGGUCAGAGGGCUAAAACGAGACCUCUGGCCAGCCCUCGGUUAGAGAUGGUCUUGCAAGUCGGGUACUUCACGUGUUAAAAUAUCAGUGAAUGUUCAUAGAAAAAUUUCUUAAACUGGGACAUACUAACCAUGUCCUCCACUUAAAGCAAGUCAAGUUGAAAGGGCAACGCUAGGUUAAAAGCUUUAUUCCUCUCAAAAUGUCAUUAUUUAUGAAAUUUGAGCCUUUCAAAAUUUUGUUUCUUGAGACGUUGAGGCUAAAAAGUGUUUGAUGACUAGCUUUCACUGACUAUCAAUUUCUUUCUAAGUUGACCAUUUACGACUCGGGGCUAAACUGGUCCCUUGAAGAAGCAAGGCCAAAUUGGCCCCUUGAAAAGCCCUGGCUAUUUUAGCCUAGGCUAGAUAUAUUUCGUUAGAAAUUAAAUUUUGUCAUCUCAAGUGAGAAAAUACAUUUCCUUAAACUAGUUUGCGUGCAUUGGAUAUACUCUUAUUGUAACACUCGCUGCAUAAAAAUUUCUCCUCCUACACUUCGUGAGGCUAAAUGGGGCUAAAUUGUGCAACAAGAGCAUAUCUACAGUUGAGCACCCACAGCUCGGCUACUACAAGAACACGGAUUAAAAAAGACACAUCAUCCUUUUGUUUUGGAAAAUUCGCCCAUGAAAGUUAAGUUACAAAUCAUUUUUGUUGAAAUAGGAAAAACAACGUCACCACGCAGAACGUAAUAUGUGAAAUGUCUUAAAUGUAUUUGUAUAUAUCACGUAAAAUAACAUAUCGCAUAAAACAAUAGGAUUGAUAAUAAGAAUUUUUCAUCUUAAAAAUAAACUUGAAAGGAAAGUUGUUGAUCAUGUACUUUUGUUACAACCUACCACCACCAUCAACCCCUCCACCAUGACCACCACCUCUCGCUACCAUCAUCAUUAUCACUAUCACUGUCAUCGUCUUAAAAUUUAUAUUACAAAAACAUUACUACCAAACCCGAAUUGUAACAUCCCACAUCGUCCAGGGGAGUGGAUCCUAUAAGCUUUAUAUGUAUAUUCUCACCUCUAUCUAGCACAAGGCCUUUUGGGAGCUCACUGGCUUCGAGUUCCAUCGGAACUCCGAAGUUAAGCGAGUUUGCGCGAGAGCAAUCCCAUGAUAGGUGACUCACUGGGAAGUUCUCGUGUGAGUUCCCUAGUAUUGACUUUAAGCAAGUUCGCGCGAGAGCAAUCCCAUGAUUGACUUUUUAGUGUAAAAAUGUGAUUUUUCGUUAAAAUGAACAGUACCGGGUGCUUUUCGUUAAAAUUCUCAAGUAUUUAAAGAAUAAAGAAGCCUAUUGGAGAUAGAGGAUUGCAGUAGGCCACGUGUCCUUGAACCUAACCUCAACCGUCGAACUUGCAAAGAAAGCCAGUGGAAUGUGUCCCUCCAUUUUUGCUACAACUACAAAAUGCCAACCCCAACAUCCCCUUUCCCUUUGUUCUGGUCUGGCUAUGGGAAUGGCUAUGCUUUUAUCCCCUUUAAAGCCACUGGCCUUCUCCACCUCUGCAUUCUCGCAGGACACAUCAUCGUCGUCGUCUUCGUCAUACCGACCUGCUGUUCUUCUUCCAGUUAAGUUCAUAAUCGCUCUCUUUUCCUCAUGUGGAGUUUUCACUUACUAUAAAAAUCUGCAAUACUAUUUCCUUUUUGACAAGGCAGCGAUAUUUUAAACUAUUUUAAUUUACAGGGAGCCGGAUCCGAACUCCAUGCCAGCCGCACUGCCAUAACCAAAUGAUCUAACCAAUAUCUCCAAAUUUGCACUAAGAUUUUAUGCACACACUUUGGAUUAUGGCAUUUUGUACAAAGCUUAAUUCCUGUUUUGUGGUUGUCUGGUUUCAGGGUUUGGGGAACAAUUCAGCUGACUACCAGAAGUUGGAGCAGACUCUGAGAGGGUAUGGAGUGAGCACAGUGGUUGCUAAGGUGUCAAGAAUUGAUUGGCUGAGGAAUGCCGCCGGCUUGGUUGACCCCAAUUACUGGCGAGGAACUCUCAGUCCUCGGCCUGUACUCGACUGGUAUGUCGACUCACUCUCCAGUAAUUGUUAAUGUCUGUUUCUUUAUGAGUAAACCUUCGGAAUUUGACUCACAUUAUAAAUAUAUAAUAGGUUAGAUUACUGGAUUGAAUUCGAACUAACAACGACUGAGGUUGCGUUGGCAGGUAUUUAAAGAGGGUGGACGAGGCAGUACAAGAGGCCAAGGAGCUGUCACAAGGUCUUGCUCAACUCUGUCUUACUGCUAUGCAAUACAUGUUAUUAUGUACGUCUUCCUGUUUACUUCUUUUGAAUCCAGAAUACUUGUAUUCACGGUGAACUCGCUAAACCUAAAACUAACGUUUCCUUGAGGGUUGUUGAGAUGAAUUUGAGAUGAGGGUCUGCAUCAAAUCAUUUGUUACAUGCUGCCUUGUCCUAUCUUAGAUGAUACUAAAAGAUAAUUGAUUUCAUCUCUGUCAACCUCUUAGCGUUCUGCUAGAUCUUAAAUGGCGUUGCUUGAUUUCAGAAUUCUCAUGCUUUAAGAGCUUUUGAAAUGCAGCUUAGCUUAUGCUUUAAAUGGAAAUUUAUCCAGUUUUUCUACGCCAGAAGGCAUCCAGUACCGCCCCAUGAAGCAACCAUUAAGCUAUGCUAGAAGACCUUUACUUAAUUAGACUGCAUACUCGAGUUCUCCAGCAAGUACACUAGUAUAAUUGUUUGUUUCAUUUGUUGUAGUUCUAAAACCGUUGGACAUACUUCGUUGUAGGUGGGACUUUAUCCCUCGUUGGACACUCAGCAGGAGGAUGGCUUGCGCGUCUUUACAUGGAAGAAUUCGGGUUUUCAGAUAUUUCGUUAUUAUUGACCCUUGGAACCCCCCACCAGUAUGUUAUCAAACUCUUAUCUUAAUAAUUUCUUGCUGAUGACUACGUAUGUAAAGCUAAGGUUUAUUUGGCGAUGACAUCCUUAGGUGCUUCUGUUAUUCCAUCUGUAUAAUCUUACUUCAAAUUUCAUCAUAACUACGACCUAUCUGUUGUUUCAGGCCACCACCAAAAGGCGUGUCGGGGGUCAUUGAUCAAACGAGGGGUCUCCUGGAUUAUGUUAAUAAGCAUUGCUCGAAAGCUGUUUACACUCCCGAACUGAAAUAUGUAUGUAUCGCAGGGAGGUAAAAUCAUAAUUUGAUUCUGAUUUUUGUCUUAGUUCAGAUUGCUUCUGUUAUUAUCUGAAUGAAUUUACUUUACGUAACCUUUUUUUUGGGGACAAAUUAAAAGGUGUGAAAUGGCACGUACCUAUUUGUGUCACUGUUAUCGAUUUUGACCUUCUAUGCAAUAGUAGUUGAUUGAACGAAAAAUCCUCAAAAUAUAUAAGAGACAUGUAUAUGUAAACUGCAGGUAUAUUCAAGGUGCUCGUUUAUUUGGCAACUCAAACGAAACCAUUGAUUCUGCACUCCCAAUAGAGGGUGUAGAAUCCUCAUCAGAUGUUGCUCUCAUAAAUGAUGCGACUGUGAGCACUCCAACAUCAACCACAACCACCUUGCGUGCGCGCUUUGUCGGGCAAGGGUACAAGCAGGUAAAACUCCCCAUUGGCUCAGCAGUUUAAACAGUCACUUCCAAUCAAAUUAAAAUUAUGAAUAUCAAUUGAAAUACAGAAUACAGUUUGCAUUGAUAUCUUGUGAUAGUUAUGUUUCUUGGUGUUAUGUCCUCUGACAUUUCUUGUAAGCCGAUCGAGUAUCAAAGUUGCAGGCUGAAUGCCGAUAAUGAGACUACCGUUUGGUUUCAGGUAUGUGGGCAGGCAGAUGUUUGGGGAGACGGGGUUGUACCAGAAGCAUCAGCCCAUCUGGAGGGUGCCCUCAACAUUAGCUUCGACGGUGUUUACCACUCACCAGUUGGUUCAGAUGAUAUGUUGAGACCAUGGUACGGGUCUCCUGCCAUCGUAGAGCAAUGGAUAACUCAUCUCCUUAACUAACGAUUUCUGAGGUGCAUUCAUGAAAAAACAAUUUAUAACUGGAAACUUUUUAAGAAUAUAUUGAGCAGUCUCCUUGUAAAUGUUUACUGUAAUUCCUGUUUACUUGCCACUCCUUGGCGUUGCUCUGGUAAUGAUUCAUGUAAAGACGGAAAGAGAGUAGAGGGAGGCUGAGAGAGUGGCGUCGACGGUGGCAAACAUCCUCCUUCCUUCUUGUUGGCUUCCUCAUCAGUCAUCACUCUCCAUCCAUUUCAGAGAAGAAACCAACACCAACAAGGGAAUGAGAUAUCAGAAUUUUCUCUUUAGUAUUUUAGUAAAUUUGAUAGUAUAAAAUGAAAUUUCAAGUGAUUACAAGUCUGUAGUAUUUUACGAAAUAUUUUAGAGGUCGUAUGAAUUAUAAUGGAUUUUAAAAGAAAUAACGAUGUCAAACAUGUGGAAUAAAAAUACUAGUUGGGUAAUACAUCAUUGUUUAUUAACUAAAAUGCUAAGUGGCACAACCUGAUUAGACAACUAAAAAAUGGGAGUCGGUCACAUGAAAAAUGGAGAAAGAAAGUCAUUUUGUGUUUCUUCUGUGUUGGAACAAGGUCCCAAAAACAGCCGAGCUUUGCUCCUAUUAGCUAAAAUUAGACAUUUCUUCUUUGUUCAAAACUUCUCUUGAAGAAUAUAUGCACAGCCAUUGUGGUCUCCUCUCCUCCACCAUCGCCGACAGUUGGGAGUCCGUCACAUGAAAAAUGGAGAAAGAAAGUCAUUUUGUCUUUCUUCUUUGUUGGAACAACCGAACAAGGUCCAAAAAACAGCAGAGCUUUGCUCCUAUCAGCUAAAAUUAGACCUUUCUUCUUUGUUCAAAACUUCUCUUGAAGAAUAUAUGCACAGCCAUUGUGAUCUCUCCUCCACCAUCGCCCGACUGUUGGGUGCUCCUCGAAGGUCCAUGAAUAGAUCUACUCCUGCCUCCAUAGCCACAGCCUCCACUCACCCCUAGCCGCCUCUAAUUCUCUCUCUCUCUCUCUCUCUCUCUCUCUCCAUCUCCACUAUUUUUUUUAUUUUAUUAAUAUUUAAUUUGGACUGUCAGCCACUUACUACUACGAUCCAGUGAUAUCCCUUUUCACUUAUAAGUGAGAGAUCUUAGAUUUGAUUCUUGCUAAAGACAAAUUUGAACCACAUCAUUGCUAACUUAUUGUAAAGUUAAACCCACUCUCUUUCCCUUGUAAAUAAUAUCGCAUGUUAAAAAAAAAAUUAAAAAAAUUUGGGCCUCACCAACUGACGAAAUCGACGAAGGGUCUUUGCUGGUGAAGUUCGAUACACAAACCCAGACCAACUAGUUUGAUACACAAACCCAACCCACAGACAUGUAAGGGCACAACUCAUUUGAAUUGCACCGUUGCACGGACGGAAAUUCCAAGUAUUAAGGCCACAAGGCCGCACAGUCUCGUGCCAUCAGCAUCUAGGUGCUCACGUCAAAAGAAACAAGCAACAAUGUAAGUCCAAAACAUAACACUUAAAACGUCUUCCAACCCUUUCGGUAAUUGCCAAGGCUUACAUUGUUGCAUGUUUCUUCUUAUUGGCUAUACUAAUUGACAUGUAGCAUUGUCUCAAUACACAGACUAGAGAUUGGGUCUUCAAUCAUCAUGUUUCACAUGUUUAGACAAGACAGAGAAGAUCUUGGGGGCCAGAAGUUCAUAUAGCAUAACUUUCUUCAUCUGCCCAAAGAAAUACUUGUGUCGAUAAAAGAAGACCUUGCAUAACAUCUCUUAGCCCUGUGGACUUUUUUUUUCAUACCUACAACCUUUUCAUGCACGAUCAGCCCACAAGUCAUAUUUCUUUACCUCAUCCUUUCGCUCUCUUUCACUUGACAAAUUCGAGCAACAGAAUCCAGAGAAGACACUAGCCCUGUGGACUACUAACCUUGUGGACUACUAACCCUGCAGACAAAACACUCGCAUUCAUAAGCCACAAUAGGGAAGUAGAUACUUCUUCAAUCUAAUACACCAGGAGUUCUAGCGAGAGACCUCCCCUUGCUAGCAGUUGCGUCACAAUAUGGAGGUUUACAUCUCUUUUACUACAUCCGAUUCAUCUACAUAGAGGAACAUUAUCUCAAGCAACCAGAUCAACCUCGUCACGCUCUAGAGAAGCUACAUCUAAUCUCAUCAUACUCCUAUAUUCAUUUGGCACAGGUGCACCUGCCUGCACGCAUAGCUCCACCACAGCUGGAGCCUUCCCGUAAUACCUCUUCAGGUUGUUAUCCAGAGCAGGACCAUCUAUGUCACGGACAUGCCAAACAUAAUUCGGACCCACAAGGUCGUCUAUUGUUGCUUCUUGCCAAGCAUGCAAACCAUUACGAGAUUGAUGCUUUGAAGCCUUGCACAUCCUCACUUUGUGCCCCUUGGGACCUACCUGAACCUCUAAACAAUAUCCACAAGUCUUCACACUGUAUUUCUCCAUGAUCUUCUUUGCUCCCAAUAUCAUCUCAAACCAUGAGUCCAUUGUAAUAAUACUUAACUCGCUCAAAGACUUCCCCACUUUAUCGCUCGGUAAUGCUUUAUCCACAAGGUUGGUAUCACUCUGUGAAUCUGAAUUCCUCAAUUCCUCAACAUCAGUUUUAAUAUCAGAAUGUACUACGAGAUCAACAAUCCCAGAAUAUGAGUUCCUAUCCACAUCAUCCAUUUUGUUGACCGACUCAAAGUCUACAAUUCUUCCUUCGAUACUAUAUACAGGUCUCGUUCUUCUCUUUGUUGGGUACUUGUCAAUCUCUAAACCAGCCUGUAUACAGAGCUCCAAAAUGGCAGGGAUUCGUGGGAUUUCAAACCUCUCAUCAUGCCCAACUCUUGGUUUUCCAACACGGUCAUAAAGAUGGAAACAUUUAGGAAAGGAAACCACAUGUUGAACUCCUCCCUUCCUCCAAACAUGUGUCCCACUCCUAAAACCACUGUUUGGGCCCGUACAAGUUCGGAUUUCAUGACUGACACGUCCAAUGUGAACUUCGGAGCAAAACCUGAGAAUAAUUAUUUAAAUUAGACGACGAACUAACAAGCAUAAGGAUAUUAUAUAUCUGAUCAGGAUGGCAUUCGGUUAAUCAACCAACUACAGGAAGUAGAUUCAGAGCCCGCAUAUUUUUGUUAGCCAUUGACUUAUAGUUUUCAGUAAAAUGUUUCCAUGUGUUACCAUAGACUCUAAUUAUCUUCCCUCAAUUAGCUUCACACUAAGCCCUGCCAUCCAUACAGGAAAUUGCUUUUACAAGUUGAAAGCACCAAGCAAUACACAUAAAAUAUUGAGAUUACAGGCCAGAAAGAGAAUCUAAACGUUAGGCAACGAUAUCCCGCCUGCAUGAUCAAUACAAGUCAACCUCAAUAACCGUUCAACCCCUUAAAAAAUCAAAAUCCAACUAACAGAUGAAAGGAGAUUCCCAGUGUAUAUGAGUCUAAAUCCACGAUCCUAAGCAAUUUGGACAAAAGAGGAACCUCGAUGUAUAGGAACGUACAAAUUUGGUUCACUAAGGUGAAAUUGGCAAAUAAGAGUUGACACAUAAACUUGUAAACAAACUCAAGGAACGAAAAAAAGGAAACAAAAACAAAAGGCAACCUCUGGAUACCUGCACCGUUGGACAGGAACAACUUGAACAAGUUUUGACAAGCCAAACAGGAGGGACUUUCGAGCUUGGUAAACUUGAUGAGCUACCUCAACCAAUUCAGGGACCAACAAUCCAUUAUCAGGUGAUUCUUCAAGCAUCCUGCAAGGUUCAACCUUCCGGGCUUCUUUCUCCUCCUUGGCUCUUCGAAUCAAAACCUUCAUGGGUGUAGGGUAAGGCUUCCUUUCUGACAUUUUUUUAGGAGGUCUUGGCACAUCAGCAUACACAGGAUCAUCUGUUUCUCCUCCUAAAGUAAGGGCUCUCUCGGAUGUAAAACACUCCUUUUGAUCAACUAGGCAACGAAUUCUUGCAAAAUGACAAGGCUUCCAUAUUAUUCUUCUCUGCAUAUUGUGCGUAGAGCCCUGCACCAUUUGAAAUAAAAAUGAAAAUUAAAGUCAAUCUAAUAACAGUGCAUUGGGUUAUCAGGUCUCAACUAAUUUCAUCUUCCAAGAAUGCAAGCAUAGUUCAAUCGAUUGCAAUACUUCCAUUGUAAAACCUAAUUUUUUGGAUGUAUUUUACAAUAAAAGGAUUAAAAUCUGAUCGUUAGGCUACAUUUGUUGAAAAUAAAAACUAUACACUCAGGCAGCAUGUACUUGAAAUAACUUAGGUACAAAAUAUUUGAUAUCCAUAUGUUUUUUUAUCUAUUAUUUCUUUCAUUCAAAUAUAGAUAUAGGAGUUUAGCUAUAAAUAUCAGCUAAAUCUUGAGAUUUGAAGUCGCUCCUCCCACAACAACAACAACAACAAAGCCUUAUCCCACUAAGUGGAGUCAGCUGUAUAAAUCCUAGAACGCCACAGCGCUCGGUUUUGUGCCAAGUGUUCCGUUAGAUCCAAGUACUCCAAGUCUUUUCUUAGAGUCUCUUUCCAAGUCUUCCUAAGUCUUCCUCUACCCCUUGGUCCAGAGCCUCUGUCGUGUACUGGACUAUUUCAGGGACUAAGCUAGCUUGGCUUGAUUUAAGCUGGACUAAGUAUUAUCAUGCCGAAGUUUGGCACAAGGCCAGACUAAGACUACAGUUUAUUUUUAUUUUUCAAAACAUGAUUAUUUUGAUUUUCAGAUAUUCUUUUCGGGCACAUGAUUAUCAAAUAUUCUUUACCACAGUGUUUUGAUAUACGUUCAUGGCGUAAAAUAGCAACCCCUCGUUGUCAUUACUCAUUACUAAUAAGAAAACGGUCACUAAAUAAAAGUUUGAAUCAAAUCCAAAUAACUCGCAACUAAUUAAAAAAUGCAAUAACAAAUCUCCAAGUAUCUCCCUUUCCGAAUCCCGCUACCUCAAAAUUCAAUUCGGUAGUGUUCGAGUUCAGUCAACUUGUCAAAAUGUUGGCCUACUUGCUCCACAUUGACUUCAUUCCUUCUAGUUAGGGCUGGGUUCGGUUCAAAACGGUUCGGUUUUUUGCCUAAACAUAAAGGCAUCUGAAACAUCUAUUGAGGCAAACUCUAGUCAUUCUCCAUAUAAGAAUCAUCAGAGUUUCUUGACUGGCAACGAAAAUUCAACAUAAAGGCAUCUGAAACAUCUAUUGAGGCAACAUAAAGCAGUUCACUGAAAAUUAAAAACCGCAAACGCAAAUCAUAAAGGUAAACUCAACAACCCCUCGGCACUUAAAUACCGAAAAUCCAAACUAACAUAGCGAAAAUUGAAACUUUUUCAGUAUUCAGAUCAAACUCAAAUCAAAGGUUUACAAUCAAUCAGGAAAAUUAUUAACUUCAACUAGCAAUUAGAUGUCUACUUUCAGAUUAAAGCCCUAAAUCUCCCCCAAAUUCACAGCACUCCAACUACCAAUUACACGUCCACUUUCAGAUUACAUACAUAUACCUGCAACCGCGAGUACACAAGAGAAAGACAGAGAGAGAGAGGAGGAGGAGGAACCUGAACGGCGCUGUGGAAGAUGCCGCCGAGGCCGAUACCGUCCUUGAAGAAAUUCGACAGCGGAGAAGAGGGAGAGAGAGAGUCUGAUUUGGAGGAAGAGGUUUUGUGUUUAGAAAUCUUAUAAAGAACUCGUAUAUGGACACAUAAAAUGUAUGCGAAGAUUUUUUAUAUUUGUUUUUGAAAUAGGAGAGAGGAAGAGAGUAAUAGAGAAUAUGGGAGUGGAAAGUUUUUUUUUUUUUUUUUUUCUUAAUAGAGAUAUAUUAUGAUUACAUGUAUGUGAGGUUAAAAAAAAAAUUUAGUUGUAUGAAAUUACAUUUCUGCUCUAUAUCAUGUUCUAUUUUAAUUAAAAUGUUAAAUUGGUAAUUUCAUAGGAUUUUAGUUGACAAUGAGUGUUUUAUUAAUGGAAAUUGUUAUUAGCCCUCCAAAAAUCUCAUUCUAUACUCCAAAAGUUCUAUAUUGGGAAAGAAAAAUAUACUUGUUAGGAGUGUAGAAUGAGAUUUUUGGAGUGCCAAUAACACUUCCUUUAUUAAUUAGUAGAGAUUAAAGAUCCAGAAUUAGUGUAAAUAUUGGGAAUUGUUAUUAGCACUCUAAAAAUCUUAUACUACACUCCUCACAAGUGUAUUUUUCUUUCUAAUUAUAGAAAGUUUGGAGUACCAAAUGAGAUUUUUAGAGUGCUAAUAACAAUUCCCAAAAUAUUUUAUAGCAACACAAAGCUUGUUGUCAAGUUGGCUGAAGCAAACACUCUCAACCUGGAGGUAAGGGGUUUGAACCUUUUGCCUUCUAGAUUUUGAGUAUUUGUAUAUGAUUUAUACAAUUAAUAUUACAUAAUUAAAUAUUAACAAAUUUGGUUUGGCUCAAUUUUUUUCGGUUUUCGAUUUUUUAAACCCAUCCCAACUUCUAGUUGUAUGGUACAUGGUCAUUCAGUUUAACUCAAAGUAGAACAUACAAUCCCAAUAUACAGUCUCAACAAUUCCUAAGCUUUGUUUCAAUUGAGGCAUUUUAUCAAACACUUUACUUUAAGCGUAUCCCAAGUAACAAAAAUCUCAUUAAAAUCGAAACAUAAUUUAUAUAAAAAAAUAAUUAUACACAAUCAACUUAUAACCUACUCAUAAGAAAUAAUGACAAACAAAUUGAACUGAAAAUACAACUAUGCACUUACCUCUUUCAAAAUGAUAUUUUAAGCUUUUAAGUUUUAACGUCCAAAAAAGAAAAAUGAGGGUUUCAUAAUUGGGUCUAGUUUUUACUUUUAACUGAGAUUUGGACGAUGAGAGCGUCCUAUAGACUACAACCACUCUGCAGGUUCUUCUAGUGCGAGGAAAUGGUGGCGGCUGGGUGUGUCGGGGUCAGGGAUGAAAAGGCUGCUUAUUUUUCGUUUUUGCUUUCUUUGACAUUGUAAACACGAAAUUUUCCUGAAACAAACGAGAUAAGAACACGUGCACAAAAUAAUAUUUGUAUUUGAUGAUUUUGGGUUACAAUCUCUCUCUAAUUUGAUCCUCUGAUUCAAUCUCCGUAAUGUGUGUAUUUGUCGACGUUGUUGAUCCAAAGGGCCGUUAGGGCUUGAUCUUAGGAUGAACGAAUGAUGAACGAUGAACGCUUUCUUCAAGGCUUUUGGGGCUUGAUCUUGAAAAACUGUUGAUGAACGAAACUUCAAGGGCCUUUGGGGCUUGAUCUUGAUGAAUAGUUGAUGAAUGGAUCUUCAAGGGCUUUUGGGCUUGAUCUUGAAGAACAGUGAUGAACGGAUCUUCAAGGGCUUUUGGGCUUGAUCUUAAAGGAUGGUUGGAUGUGUGGAUUUGUCGACGUUGUUGAUCCAAAGGGCCGUUGGGGCUUGAUCUUAGGUUGAACGGAUGAUAAACGAUGAACACUUUCUUCAAGAGCUGUCGGGGCUUAAUCUUGAAUUGGUGGAAGUUCUUCAAGGGGUCGUCAGGGCUUGAGCUUGAAAGCGGAUUUGGCGAAGAACGAAGAGAGUUUUCUCAAUCCUUCGGAAUUUGCUUGAGAGCUUUAGAGUUUCAAAGCUUCAAGGUUUUGGUGUAAUAUCAAUUGGUCCCCCCGAAAUGAAUGAAAUUGGCUUUUAUUUAUAGAAUUUUCCAAAGCCUAAUUUUGAAUAUAAUAUUCAGAUGAAAUAAAUCGUUUCUGCUAGGUGUUGACACGUGUCCUGCUUGAUGACUUUUCUGAUUUAUUUUGAUUUUUCAUUUAGUCACACGCUAUGUGUAAAAUUUAUAUGACACGUGAGCAUUGAAAUUGUAACUAUUGGUCAACAUUUAUUUCACCGAAAUUUCGAUGUCUACAAAUGCCCCCACUUCAAGGCGCGUUGUAUACAUGUGCUUGUCGCGUGUAGGAGAUGCGUUUUGAAGUCCCUUAAUGUAGAUGUCGAUCCAAGGGCCGUUGAGGCUUGAUCUUGAAUUGGGCUUGAGAUUUCUUUAAGGGCCGUUGAGGCUUGAUCUUGAAUUGGGCUGAAAAUUUCUUCAAGGGUCGUCGAAGCUUGAUCUUGAAGGUUGAAAUUGAACCACAAGGAGCUUCAUGUGGUAGAUGAUCUUUGGCUUUGGUAAUGGAUGAAUUGGUGCGUAUUUUGUUGUGCUUGUUGACUUUCCACAGCUUUGAUCUUGAACUGGGUUUGAUUCAAGGGUGGUAGACACUUGAUCUUGAAUCGGACUUGUGAUUUCCUCAAAGGUCGUCGAGGCUUGAUCUUGAAUUUGGCUGGAAGCUUCUUCAAGGGCCGUUGAGGCUUGAUUCUUGAAGGUUGACUCGAACACAUGGCAAGCAGGCACGAGGUGAAGGUGACGACUCGUUGCUUUGUUCAAUCUUUCUAAUUCACACCUGAGCAGUUUGGUCAACGGUAUGAUCUUCAAGAUUGAUGGGCUUUUCUUCCAGUUGGUGACUUGAUCUUUAAGGAUUUGAUUCAAGGGUGGUGAAUCGGCACGUGCAGCCCACAACGCCUAGCGAGUCGACCCAAGAAUUUGAGGGUCAAAACGAGCCCUCCACUGAUAGUGAUUGCAACCCUGAUGAUAUGAGAUACUUUUGAUUUUGAAGAAGUAGCGGAUGAAUCGGCACGUGCUUUGUUGUGCUUGUCUCCACAUGCUUCAAUGUAUCAUUUUCCCUUGCCUUAUUUGUUCUCUAGGCAAAUGUAGCAUCUUCUCGAGUUCCUUAACUCAGACUCCUUCUGCUGAGUUGACUGUGCAGACUGCAUUCUUCUCUGCUUGUUUCUUCUGCACGUUGUAUCCACGUGCUGCAAGGUAUCAUUUUCACUUGCCUUAUCUGUUUUCCAAACAGAUGUGGCAGCUUCUUUGGAAGUACAGCAGCAGUGGAAGACGAGUACUCGAGAGCAAUACCAUGUAAGCAACCAGGCAAAGGUUCCAAGUAGUCGAUUCCUUACCUAAGUUUAAGUGGAGGUUCCGACAUAUUGCUUUCUUUAUCCUUGUCUUUGCAGGUAAGAACAAGGACAAGGGAAAUGACAGGGAGAACGCAUGAUAUGAGAUACUCUUGCUUUCUACCCUAGUGAUAUAAGAUACUUUUGCUUUGGUGUCAUUUGUUUGCAAAUGUACCCCAAGGAAUAAGGAACACUGAGUGACUCAAGAGGCUUUGUUGGGAAGGCAUUCUCGGGGAUAAAGAAAGGUUCUGUAUAUCUACCUUGCUAUGGAGGGUGAAGGUGGACAGUUAUAGGAAGUUCUUUAAUACAUGUAGAGGUACUAUUCUUUCACUCGUGUCGGCAACCAUUGAGUGAUUGAUCAGUAUGGCUUCACGUGCUUUCUUCUUUAUCAGAAAUCUUCGACAAAUUGUCUGUAAUUUCCGCCAAGUUGAGUGUGCAUGUGACAGGUGUUGACGAGGUUGAAAAAGACUGGCGCCUCUUCGAUAUCUGGGAUCAGCGCUUCGACAAAUUACCCGUGAUUUCCACAAAGCUGAGUUUGCAUGUGACGGGUGCUGACGCGUCUGGAAAAGCAAGAUGCCUCUCUGAUUUCUGAGCUUGCCUCUUCGAUUUUUGAAUUGGCCUCUUCGAAUUCUGAGCUCGCCUCUUCGAUCUCUAAAAUCCCGUCGAGUGCUGAUUUUUAUAAAGGCACACAGUUCGUUUCAAAGCACACUUGAAUUUUCGCUUGUAGAAACUCCCUUCUUGCACUUCUAAGAUCUUGAUUCGUCCAACCUCUUCUUUCUUCAACACUUUUGAAAAUGUCUGGACCCUCCGACCGUCGUUUUGACUUGAACCUUGGUGAAGAGGCAAUCCCGCCUUCUCCAGACAACAUAUGGCGCCCAUCCUUCAUAUCCGCUAUUGGUCAGCUUACCGUUGGGGAUUCGAUGAUGAAGAAUGAUAUGACUGCUGCGGUGGUGGCCAGGAACAUUGUCACUCCCAAAGAUAAUAAACUACUUUCCAAACGGUCUGAUGAGUUGGCUGUUAAGGAUUCUAUAGCUCUCAGUGUGUAGUGUGCAGGUUCUGUGUCUAAUAUGGUCCAACGUCUAUUUGCUCGAACCCGUCAAGUUGAAUCAUUGGCGGCUGAAGUGAUGAGUCUCAAACAGGAGAUUAGAGGGCUCAAGCAUGAGAACAAACAGUUGCACAAGCUCGCACAUAACUAUGCUACAAACAUGAAGAGGAAGAUGGACCAAAUGCAGGAAUCUGAUGGUCAGAUUUUACUUGAUCAUCAGAGGUUUGUGGGUUUGUUCCAAAAACAGUUGCCUUCGUCUUCUAGGGCUGUACCGCGUAAUGAAGCUCCAAAUGAUCAACCUCCGGCUCCUCUUCUUCCUGGAGUCCCGCCAAGUGAUGAGGCUUCACACGAGCAACUUUCGUGAAGGCUCCCUCCUGUUUGCUCUUCUUCUUUUUUCUUUUUCUUUUUUUAAAUGCCACCCAUCCAUCUUUCCUAUGUAUAUAUAUAUAUAUAUAUAUAUAUAUAUAUAUAUAUAUAUAUAUAUAUAUAUUUCUCUUUAAUCAUGGUGCCAGGCACACCAAAGAUCAAAACAUUUUUUUAUUAUAUAUAUUUUUCCUUUAAUCAUGGUGCCAGACACACCAAAUAUUAAAUAUUUUUUAUUAUAUAUAUAUAUAUUUUUUCUUCUUUUGCAGAAUGGUGUUGAUCCACCACCUAAAACACUUUAUAUUAUAUUAUAUAUAUAUAUAUAUAUAUAUAUAUAUAUAUAUAUAUAUUUCUUUUCUUUCAUUCACAUGGUGCCAGAUGCACCAUCAUUCUUUAUAUAUAUAUAUAUAUAUAUUUCUUUCUUUUUCCCAUUUCUGAGAACCCAGAAGCAUGAUUCUUCGACAGAGAAGCAAAGUGGAAAGCACGGGUAUUCCACUUAUUGCCUUUUGUGGCUUUAUAUGCCUUCUCCCACUUCAUCGCAUAGUAGAAGAACCAUAACUUUCAGACUGGCGGUAGAGAGGAAGACGAAGGUGCAUCGAACCAGGUUGCUCACAUUCUGCUGUCCUUGUUGCAAAAGCUGUAAGGAUCAAAGCAUGCAGACUCGCAGAGUUUUGUUUUUCGAGUUGCAGAACUAAGAGAGAGAGGUCCAGGUUCCUUCGUUUUAAGGUGAGGAUGAUUUUGACAUGUGCAUAUAUAUAUAUAUAUAUAUUAUAUGCAUAUUUAUAUACACUGACUUAAGCUCUGGUUUACUAUCCAUCAAUAAUGUCAACUGAGUAGUGCAUGCAGCAGCCAGUUGAAGUCUUGAAACAAUGGCGGGCAUCAGUCGUGGUGAAGCAACAUCGAGCAGCAAGCAGGCCGUAAGACAAAGGAGUGCAGUUCAUGGUGCACGUAGGAGGUGCUGGAGUUUGCAGACGGGUGACAUCGUGGCGCAGCAAUAGCAAGCUUUUACUCUGAGGUAUGUUUUAGGCUGAGGACGAUUUCAAUCUUUUGGACCUUAUACAUAUAUAUAUAUAUAUAUAUAUAUAUAUAUAUAUAUAUGUGGAAGUUUGAACGUCCCGUCACCAUCACUGUGUACACAUUGUAUAUAUUUGUAUAUGGAACUUGGUUGCCGUGUCUUAUAUAUAUAUAUAUAUAUAUAUAUAUAUACACACACACACACACCCAUAUACACACACCCAUAUAAUACCAUAUAAUGUGUAUAUUUUUAUGCACAAUGUGUUUGUGCCCCCACUGAUGGAUUUCUUUGCUGUGAUGCCAAGAAUCCUUAAUUUUAAGAAGGCAGAGCAUGAUGCUGGAACCCUCAUGAAGCUUUCAGAGGUGUGAUUAUUGGUGGCGGAGUGAGCAGGUUGCCUAGUGCUUGUGCCAGAGACUGCAACGGGGUUUCGCUGUGUAGUGCCUUUUGAUCACAGUUUUCCCUCGGUGAUGCAUUGUCGUGUGGUGCUGUGCAAGAGAUUGGAGCGGGGCUUCGCUGUGUAAUGCCUUUUGGUCACAGUUUUCCCUUGGCAAUGACGUCGUUGUGCGGUGUAAGAAAUUUGCUUGAGUAGUCGCUGCAAGUUUGCGUAGUGUGAUUGCGUAGCAUUUUGGUUUCCUCUACCACUGUAGUGUGCUUUGAAUGAUCGUCUUGUAGCUGUCAUCUCUGCUGUGCUGCUCAAGCUUUGUGGCUGACUUUUCCGUUGCAGUCAUGGUGUUUCUCAAGUGCUUUAAAAACAACACCAUCACCAUUCUUGCGAAGGAAGGUGAUCCAUAAGAUAGUGGAACGACAUUGAAGCUUUAUGCGCCACUGAUUGGCCCUAAGGCGCUUGUUCUUCCCAUAAAAGACAACUUCAUGCGUAUUAAGUCGUGGUCUUCUGAAAUAUCUUGGGAGGUGGUAGACUCUGUUCGACCAACUACAAAGAAGAAGGUGUGCAAAUCGAGGAUUCUUAUCUUGAACUCUUCGCACCAUGAUCGUGCCAACCCUUUGGUUAAGUCUAAGCUUCUUGGUGAUCAUAUCCGUAGCGGAGCUAUAGCUUGGAAUAACACCUUGUCAACUACUGGAGGAGCCACAUUCGUUGAGUUUUAUUGGGAAUGGCUUGAAAUUUUCUUGAGCCGCUCCAAAGAUGUACUUACCAACACAGGCCUUUAUCAUGUUGUAUACGCAUCUUUGUUCAAUUAUGAUCGUCAUCCUUCCGUCCUUCGUGCAUUCUUUGAGCAUUGGUGUUCAGUGACCAACACGCUUCACACAGCUCGAGGGGAGAUGUCGAUUUCACUUAGGCAUCUCCACAAGCUAGGGGGUCUGCCUAUCUAGGGAAAAUUUUAUGAGGAGGUUGUUCCUAGUGUGGAAGAGUUUUCUUGUCGCAACAGUCGAGGAUUGCCUGCGAGCUGUCGCUAUUUGUUAUGGGCGUACCAUAAGCUUUUCCAAGAGGCCCCUGGUAAGUCAGGCGUGAAGAUUUCUUCGUGGAUCCGGUUUUGGUAUUGGGAUGCCGUGAAGUACAAAAGGCUUUCAAAAAAAAUGGUCGUAACAAGACAACCAGGCCUAAGGGAGACUCUGAUCCGUCAAGCAUCAUUGGUCUAGCUGGGCGUUGUACCUCUAACGAGUUGAGGGCAUUUGAGGAUCUCGACGUGGCAUUAGAGCACUUAGAAGAAUCUUACUUAGCUGCAUUCUUAGCUUGUUGGCUUUGUAAGUUUGUUUUCCCUAAAGACGACGUCAACUUGAUUCAUCCUGGAGUCUUCAAAGUUGCUAGCAAGAUGGCUGCAGGCGAAUCUUUUAGCCUUGCUAUUCCGGUCUUAGCCAACAUUUACGACGGCUUAAGAGUUGUUUCGGACUUGGCAAGCACUGAAGAUCGUGAUGCGGUACUUCCUUACCACUACGUGUACAGUUGGUUGGGUGAGUACUUUGGUACUCAUUUUUCUUCGUCAACUUUAGACAAGUCUGGGCCCUCCGUAGUCAAGCUGGGACCUUUGAUGACGAAGUAUUUUGGCGUGCUUUCUGCGAAUAGUCUCGACGAUCAGCAGGCGCAAACUUUAUUUAGAAGUUGUGAAGGAUUGAGGAUGGAUCGCUUGGCGAAGGUUGGCUCGGUGCGGCGAGACAUCAUGGAUGAUUCACAUCUCCACUUUUCAGACUUGUCUUACCUUAUAAGUCUCCGCUCGGGGUAUGUUUCUUUGCGGCAAGAAUACCAAUUUAUCAUUCAGCCGUACAGUCCUCACCGCUUUAGCAAGCAAUUUGGUUUGUCCAAAAUGUUCCAGACACGUUGAGGGAGAAAGCUAGAUCAAAAUCCUUGUAACCCGUGUAUAUGCAUUGAGAGGCGUGUACCCGUGCAUGUACAAAUGCUUUUAUCACCCUGCUGGCCAAGGACGAGUUCAAGAGUAAUCCAGUAACCCGUGUUCACAUACGUAGGUGGUCAAAGGUAUAUUAUGAGAAUUUAGGGACAGCAAGUGGUACCAAUUCUUCCCAUUCACGUCAUGAUACGUCAAAAGAGGGUUGUUAUGUGGUUCCUACACAGUUGGUACCUUUUGAUUGUGCAAGUGUCACUCCUUUGCAAGAUAGACCUAUGGUUUUAGCCCAUCAACACUUGCGUCUGUCUUCUCCCCACCUGAAUGCUUCUGAAGAGGUGGGUGAUGAAGUUGAUUCGCACAGAGAUUGAUCUAUUUUGCGGCUACGCCAACAAGUUUUAAACAAGCGGUCACUCGAAGUCGCUCAGGUUGACAGCGAUGUUAAUUUUCGUCAUAAGAAGAAAGAAAUGUUUAAGCCUCCUCAAUCCGAUGGUCGUGUGUAAGAUGUACAUAUUUCUUUCUCUCUCAUGAUUUAUUUAUUUUUUUCUCAUUAUUUUAGCUUUCAUUUCUAACAUCUUUCUUUGUUUUGUUUAGGUUGGGCCUUCUUGUUCUUUUAAUCUGGCGAUUGCAAGCGUUCACUCCUGUACAGACAUGCUACUUGGAGGAAAUCUACCUACAGAUGGGGAGAUUGGGGAUCCACCUAGUGCAGAGCUCGUUCAAAAUUCGCCCAAUUUCCCAAGCUUACCGUGUGUAGGUGGAGGCGUACAAGAGUCCAUCAUGCGUCCAACAUCUUUGCCAGCUAGUUCGGGGAUCUCUUUGAGAGGGCCGAACCUUAGAGGUACUGAGCAAGUCAUCCAUCGCAUCCGUCUUGGUGCGGCAAUGGAUAUCAAGAGCCAUAUAGAGAAAAGGAUUUCUAAAUGCCCGUUGGAAUACCUUAUGUUGCUUAAAGAGGAUCUGUCGAAGCUUGUUUCUGUGAUUGACAGCCUUAACGUUGAUUCUUCAUCAUUGAAGAUCAAGAUUGCCGAACUUAUGGCCACCUCGACUGAGUAUUCUUCCUUGCGUGCUAUUUCCUUGGAGAAGUUGAGUCCAGAUGUUAGAGCUCAUCAGCUAGCAAUGAUAAAUUCGUCAUUGGCUCAAGUCCGGUCUUUUUAGCAAGCUGUUUCAGGAGAUUAUCAAGUCACAGAUACUUCUUUAACUUCUGUCCAGGGUGCGUCUAGAUGCAUUGGUACGAGAGCGAGAGUAGUUGGUAAUCGAAGCAUCGCAACUUGAAAGUGUUCUUGCAAAGCAGGGAACUACACUUUCUCAGUACCAAGAGGAGAUUUCGCGCCUAGAACGAGAGAAAGGCAUGACUAUGGAGUUGCCCAUCUUGUCUCCCACCGAGGUAGAGACUUUGAAGACUUUAGAAGGCUUGCUUGAAGAUCGCCUUCGUAUUUUUAGGGACAUAGUUUUCAAGUAGUAUCUUAUGUUUUUUUUUUUUUAAUAAGGCUUUGGAGCCGACUCCUUCUUUCAAAAAAAUAAAGCAUUUAUGUUCUUGAAUUUGCUCUUCAAUCUUCAAAGUGUUAUUUUUUAUUUUUGUUAUUUUUUUUUAGAUGGUGUGACUGUACUUGAAGUUUUGACUCUUCAAGUUGCCUACGUACCCUCUGUUGAGGAGGGAUCAAGUCAUAACGUAGUUCAAAUGCAUUUUUUUUUCUUUUGUUUUUUUUUUUUGUGUGCCGUACGCAGUUUAUGCUCUUGCAGGCCAGGAGUGUGGCGUUUGUUUUAGGGAUAGUAGCACUUCAAGAAUUUGCCAUUGAUGGGACCGAUCUUCAAACCGUCUUCUGCCAUGAUUAAGUAGGCGCCAUUGGUGUAGACUUCUUGUAUUACGUAUGGUCCAUCCCAUUUUGACGUGAACUUGCUCUUUGUCUUGUGAGUUGUGAUGAUAGGCCUACGCAAUGAAAGGACAAGAUCUUCCAUUUAAAAAGAACGAGGGGAAACUUUCUUGUUGAAGGCCUUAGAGAGUCGUGUUUGAUAACACUCCAAGUGUUGCUGGGCUUCGAGUCUUUUCUCAUCCAGCGCUUCCAGCUCUUGAAGGCGCAACUUUGCAUUCUCUUCGUUAGUCAAGCCUUCUUGUAUAGCCAUCCUUAGCGAGGGGAUUUGACUUUCGAGCGGUAGAACAGCUCCCACGCCAUAUACGAGAGAAUAAGGUGUAGCUUGGGUAGGCGUUCUAUAUGUCGUCCUGUAUGCCCAAAGUGCUUCGCCUAUUCUUUCAUGUCAGUCUUUCUUUGUUCUGCCGAUUACCUUCUUCAGGAGGUUGUACAAUGUCUUGUUGAAUGCUUCUGCAAGACCGUUGGCCUAAACAUGAUACAUGGAGGAUUUGUGCUGCUUGAACUUGUAUUUCUCGCAAGGCUCGCUACAUUUUCCGAUGUCAGUGACAAUGUAGCGAGGCACACCAUAUCGGUGGAUGAUAUGUUCCUUGAUGAAAUGGACGACAGUUUCCUUCUUGACUUCUUUCAGGGGUAUAGCUUUAGCCCAUUUGGAGAAGUAAUCUGUUGCAGCCAGGAUGUAAGCUUCUCCUGCAGAUGACUUUGGCGCAAUUGGUCCUACGACGUCCAAUCCCCAUGCAUCGAAUGGCCGUGAAACAGCGGUGGGGUGUAAUGGUUCAGGCGGUUGAUGUAUGAAGUUGGUGUGAAAUUGGCAGGCUUGGCACCUUUUGGCGUGUUCUAGGCAGUCAUUUACCAUGCUUGGCCAGUAAUAACCCAUUCUUUUGAGCUGGAAAUGAAGCUUCGGUCUGGACUGAUGCGCCCCACAUAUUCCUGAGUGUGCUUUUUCCAUGGCUUGAUUGGCUUCUUCCUCACCUAGGCAUCUCAGAAGUACUCCUUCAAAAGAUCGCCGGUAGAGUGUCCCUUUGUAAUAGAGGAAGCGAUGUGCUCGUCGAUGUACUUCAGAGUAGUGUUUUGGAUCAUCUAGAAGUAUUCCAUGCUCCAAGUAGUUGAUCAGAGGCUGUCUCCAUUCUUCAACGUUGACCGAAAGUAUUGAAAUAAUGUUUGUAUCACUCAGUACCAUUUCAGUGACAAACGGGAUUACCCAUCUUUGGCAGACUGGCAUGUUUGCAGCUUCGUCUUCUCCUAAUGUCAUGCUCGAGGCUAGGUUAGCGAGAGCGUCUACCAUUUGAUUCUCUUUUCUUGGGACGAGAUCAUCUUUCCUCGCCUCAUAUUCAAUCAGGAGUUGAUUGAUUAUGAGCUUGAAGUCGCCAUAUAUCACAAGGGCUGUGAUUUCCAUCUUGGUCGCCAUUUGGAGCCCGAUGAUCAGUGCUUGGUACUCAGCGACGUUGUUGGAGCAUAAUUCGCUUAGUUGGAAUGAAUAAGGUAGUAUUUGCCUUUGUGGCGACAUGAAUACUACUCCUGCCCCUGCUCCGUCUGCUCGUGCAAAUCCGUCGAAGAACAUCGUCCAUGUUGGGAAUAUGUCGAUGUAGAACACCUCCUCGUUAGGCAAGUCGUUUGAGAUUUUCCAAUCGGCUGGGAUUGGAUGGUCGGCAAGGAAAUCUGCUAGCACUUGUCCCUUGACGGCUUUAGCUGGGACGUAGAUGAUCUCGUAUUGAUUAAGAAGCAAUGCCCAUUUAGCUAGUCGCCCUGUCAAAACUGGCUUGGACAUGACGUAUUUGACCGGGUCAGCUUUAGCAACCAAGUGGAUGGUGUAAGCAUGCAUGUAAUGUCUGAGCUUCUGGAUGGUAAACAUCAAGGCAAGGCACAUUUUUUCUAUUAGGGAGUAGUUCAACUCAGCGCCGGUGAGCGUUCGACUGAGGUAGUAAAGCGCUCAUUCUUUCUGGGAUUCGUUUUCCUAUGCCAAGAGUGCUCAAACUGAACUUUCCUGAGUAGCGAUGUACAAUAUGAGCGGUUUCCCUGGUACAGGUGCCCUCAGGACAGGUGGACUUGAUAAAUACUUCUUUAUGCUUUCAAAAGCAUUGUUGCAUUCUUUGUCCCAUAUGAACAGAACAUCUUUCUUCAUGAGUCGACUGAACAGUUGACAACGCCCUGCAAGGUUGGAGAUGAAGCGUCUGAUGAAGGCUAGCCGUCCUUGUAGACUUUUCAACUCGUGCAGGUUUCUUGGCUCGGGUAUGCUUUGAAUGGCCUUGAUCUUUGAUCGGUCCACUUCAAUGCCACGAUGCUUGACAAUGAAGCUAAGGAACUUUCCAGAUGUGACGCCAAAUGCACACUUUAACGGGUUCAUCUUGAGGUUGUAUUUUCGCAACCUUUCAAACACUACUCGCAAUCCUUCAAGUGAUCUGAUAUUUUCUUUGUCUUGACCACCACAUCGUCUACAUAGGAUUCUACGUUCUUGUGUAGCAUGUCAUUGAAGAUCUUCUGCAUUACGCGUUGAUAUGUAGCUCCAGCAUUCUUCAAACCAAAGGGCAUCACCUUGUAGCAGUAGAUACCUUUUAGAGUCCGAAAGGUUGUUAGUUCUUCAUCUUCAAGAGCCAUACGAAUUUGAUUGUAUCUAGAAGAGCCGUCCAUGAAUGAUAGUGCCUCAUGGCCAGUGGUCGCGUCCACCAUGAUUUUAAUUAUUGGCAAGGGGAAGUCAUCAUUUGGGCAAGCAUCAUUGAGGUCUCGGAAGUCUACACAAACACGUAUUUGUCUAGAUUUCUUAAAGACUAUGACGAUGUUGGAGAUCCACUUGGGGUAUUGCACCUCUCGAAUGAAGCCUGCUUCGAUCAGCUUGUCAAUCUCGGCCUCAAUUUGUGGGAUGAGCUCAGAUCGAUAGCGUCUUUGAGUUUGCUUUAUUGGUUGCAUUCCAGGUUUGACUGCAAGACGAUGCACAGCAAUGAUAGGGUCGAGGCCGGGCAUUUCCUUGUAGGUCCAAGCAAAGACGUCAUUGUACUCUAAUAGCAGCUGGUAAUACUUCUCUAUCUCGUCUGCACUUAGUAAUGCACUCACGAAGAUAGGCUUUGGUUCCUUACUUGUGCCUAAGUUGAGUUCUUUAAGAUCAUCAACUGUGGCUUGCCCCCAUCUUCGAGUUGUGACGGCGCUGCAAUAACAUCUUCCUCGAGGAUUUCAUCUUUUUCACCUUCUUGGAUUGUGAUGUGGAAGACGUCUUGGGCCUCUUCUUCGGUGUUGACCUCUCGAGCUUGUUGGUAUGAAGAUUGUCCAGUGUGGAUGAUGGUGCGCCUUUUCACUUUCAAUGAUCCAACUGUGUUAACCUCUAAAAUUGAUUGGCGCUUCAUUCUUGAAGGAAUGGAACUUCGAACGUCAUCCUUUUCUGCCAGACGAUCGAUCUUUUCUACUUCGGGUGUCGUCUUUCUCCUUCUGGAAGGCUCUUUGGCUUCUUUAAGUCUUUCCAUAACUGACUGUCGUGGAGGAAAGCUAGUCGUAUUGCUUUGCUUCUUAGGUUUCGACAACCUUUUGAAAACAAAGCUUCAAGAUGCUGACGUGUUAAGCCUUUUGAAGACAGAAGUUCUGUUUUGACCGCCAAUGAGUUUAGGUGCCGAAACUCUGGGCUUUGAACAACUCAUUCUAUCGAAUACUGACGUCUGGGGGUAGGUUUAGGCUCCUCUUUAUCUUGUAUAAUGCUCACGCUGAUGUGUUGAGUGCUAGCAUUUUUUUACCUUGCUGGAGAUCUUCACCGGUGCAUUUGGUGUGAAGCCAAGUCCAGCUUUGUUGUUGUUGACCCCGUAACCAUGCUCCUCCAACUUCUUCUGAGUUUUAGUGAGAUCACGUUCGUUGUCUUUGACGGUGUUCAAAUUCUUCUUUCCCAAAUUUGCAAAGGAGGUGAAGUUGUACUCAGCUUUCGACAUGAGUUUGUAGGCGUUUGGAUCAAAACCUUCUUCAGUCCUCUUGGUUGGGAGAAAGCUUGGUUCUACCCCCUUUGGCAAGCCUUUUAUGAAGCCUUGUGAUGGUCUUGCAACCUUAAUGUCGCCUAGCUGUGUCAGAGGCAAAACUGCAUUCGUUUUGAGCAACUUUACAUUAUCCAUGUGCCGUUGUGCACCGGUUUUGCAGGCUGCAGUUUCAAACGGGGAUUGACCAUUCUUUCUUCUCGACGUCAGGAUGUAUAGGAAAACGGGUAUGUUUGGUCCAUUUGAGGGCGUCCUACUCCAUCUGGUUGUUGCAGGUUUAGUAAGCUCAUCAUCGUUUUUGCUUGAAGAUGGCAUAGCUUCUUCUUCUUGCUUCUUAGGCAUGGCUUGCCACUCCUGCUUUUUAGGUGUUGCUUUGCCCAUAGAUUUGAUCUCUUUUGGAAGAGUUUCGGGCACCAUGUCUUCAUCCAUGUAGAACUUGGAGUCUGCGAAAUGUGAUUCGGCUUCGGUGAAUGGCUUGGUGUCACCAUAGAUCACCUUCACUCCUUCUCAGUAAAAUUUAAGCAUUGGUGAAGGGUGGACGGUACUACUCCAUUCGCAUGGAUCCAAGGCCUUCCUAAGAGCAAACUGUAGGAAAUUCUUGCAUCAAUCACGUGAAAAAUUAUGCUUGACUUGAGUUCACCAAUGGUCAUCUCCACUCGGAUCAUACCCAUCGCUCUUUGUCCUUCUUGGUUAAAACUUUGGAUUAGUAGACGGCUUAGGGAUAGUUCAUCCACCUUGAUGCCGAUUGUGGUCAUUGUUGACUUUGGCAUGAUAUUUAUGGUUGAUCCGCCAUCCACAAGCAUGCGGCUGACUUUGUGCUCCUUUACGUACCUAGAGACGAAGAGAGGACGGUUGUGAGGCUUGGAUCCUAGCAGCAAGUCUUCAUCGGUGAAGUGGAUUGUGUCCUCGGUGGCACAGCAUGUGGCACACUCGUGUGGCCGAAGCCUCAAGCCUUCGUUCUUGCUUUCUUGCACUUCGUGGUCGUUCGGACUUGCUAAAAUCGCUACCAGUGCCCUUCGUAUCUUCUUUGGCAAUUGUAGCACUUCCUCGAUGCUAAAGUGUGUUGGCAGACCUUCUUCAGGUGUAAGAGUAUUUUCUCCCUCAAUGGCGACAACUUUGCCUUUUGAGGGUUCUUCCAUUUCUACUUCGACCAUAUGACAUGCAGCGAUAGUGCACUGUUGGAAGAAGUCCUCCGAGAAGUACUCGUGCAAGGAUACGGGAAUGCGUGGCUUUUGCUCAACAGGUUCCCCAGCAUAUAUUGGCGUAACAGCUCUUAUGUUUCUUUUAGGCUUCCUAUUGCUGCGGCGGCGGUGCUUUCUCCCUUGUUCCCCCUUUGGCUUUAUAGCUUGCGAUCUCGGUUUCCUCGUCCUUUUAUAGGUCACCAAUGUCCAUUCUUUGUCAUCGUCAGUAGGUGCAUCUUGGUUGCUUGCCCCCAGUAACGGUGGUGCAGAAGGUGCAGAAGGUGCAGUGUGGUUUGAGUAUUGCCGAGCAUGGUCAAGCAUUUCUUGAAGAGGCACAGGAUCAAAGGAUCCGAACACAAUCGUAGUGGUGUGCGUUGCAGCUGUGUCUUCUAGGUCGAGCUCAAUCUACCCUUGUUGUGCCAAUUUCAUGAUGAGUUCUUUUAGGAUGAAACACUUACCCACCUGAUGACCCACGAUACGAUGGUACUUGCAGUACUUGGGAUCAUUGAUACGAUUCAUCUCUUCGGGGCGUUUGCAUUCGGGCAACUCAAUCACCUUCUUCUCCAGCAGGUCGUCCAGCAUUGCGUCCAUGUCGGAGUCCGGAAAAGGGUAUACCUUCUGCUCCAGUUCCCUCAAGGUGUUUUUGUACCUAUCUUGGGUGUGGGAAGGCUCACUUCUUUUUAUCUCAUUUGCUUUGUUACUGAAGGAGAUUUUGACGGGUGCGAACGAGGUCUUGAUAGGGGUGGUAUUGGUGGUAAAAGUUUCCUUGGCGGGCUUUUUCCCAUGAUUGUCUACUCUUGAAGUAAACACCUCAUCCCUUUUGAAAUCGGUGAUUGGCUCUUUUUUUCCAUGGUGAGCGAUGCUCAGCUCCAUAUCGUGGGCACGGGUGGCUAAUUCUUCAAAAGUCUGUGGUUUGAUACCUUGAAGGAUGUAUUGUAAACCCCAUUGCAUGCCCUAGAUGCACAUCUCGAUUGAAGAAAUCUCGGAGAGCCUGUCCUUACAGUCGAGGCUUAGAUUACGCCAUCGGUUGAUGUAGUCCAUGAUUGGUUCUUCCCUCCAUUGCUUCGUGCUCGUCAACUCUAGCAUGCUCACAGUGCGGCGGGUACUGUAGAAGCGGUUGAGGAAUUCCCUUUCCAACUGUUCCCAGCUGUUGAUGGACUCGGGCUCCAGGUCUGUGUACCACUCAAAGGCGUUUCCUUUUAACGAGCGUACAAACUGCUUGGCGAGGUAAUCUCCUUCCAUCUUUGCAUUGUUGCAGGUUUCGACGAAAUGUGCGACAUGUUACUUAGGGUUUCCUUUUCCGUCAAAUUGCAUAAACUUCGACGGUUGAUAACCCAUCGGCAUCCUUAAGGCAUCGAUCUUCCUGGAGUAAGGCUUCGAGUACAACAUGGAGGCAUGUGAGCUCCCUUCGUACUGCGCCUUGACGGUGUUGGCGAUCAUCUCCUACAACUGCUUGAUGGAAAGAGAUCCCAUGAACGCUGUUGUCUGGUCUAGCUUCAGCUUUUCUUCAGCUUUCUCCACUAUAGGCUCAUCUUUUUCAUCGUUUUCCUUCUUCAGAUGAUCAAUCUUUGGGUUGGGUUUCUCAUCAUCCAGCGCCUCCAGUCGGUUGACGAGUGCUGCAAUUUGCAAGUCUUUUUCUUCCACAGUUCAGGUUACCCUUGCAAUUGCUUCAUUCAUCUGAGCCAGCUGCUCAUCAAUUGAAGUUGCUCCGGUAGCUAUAACUUGCAUGGUUGUGCUGUCGCUUGAGUCAGCAUUGGAAAACAAAGACUCGGAGUACUUCCUCUGGCUUUCCUUCCUUGGCGGCCUUAGCGAGGCUAGGGUGAUCACAGGUUCGUGCCUCGGGUGCUCUUGUUCCUUCGGCAGGGUUUAUGCAAGGAUGGAAGAGGAGGCAGCAAGAGCUCUUGCCUUGCUUCGAGUUAUGAUGCCCAAAAUGGCGCCGCCUGCGGCAAGGAUGCUCUUGUUCUUCGCGUUGGUUGUGGGAACAACUUGAGCCUUCCUUGAUGCCAUUGAUUUUGGAAGUGUGCUUAAAUUUCUUGAACGGAGAAAGAGAUGAAAGGUAGAGAUCAUCCCACUGGGCGUGCCAAAUUUGUAAACACGAAAUUUUCCUGAAACAAACGAGACAAGAACACGUGCACAAAAUAAUAUUUGUAUUUGAUGAUUUUGGGUUACAAUCUCUCUCUAAUUUGAUCCUCUGAUUCGAUCUCCGUAAUGUGUGUAUUUGUCGAUGUUGUUGAUCCAAAUGGCCGUUGGGGCUUGAUCUUAGGAUGAACGAAUGAUGAACGAUGAACGCUUUCUUCAAGGCUUUUAGGGCUUGAUCUUGAAGAACUGUUGAUGAACGGAUCUUCAAGGGCCUUUGGGGCUUAAUCUUGAUGAAUAGUUGAUGAAUGGAUCUUCAAGGGCUUUUGGGCUUGAUCUUGAAGAACAGUGAUGAACGGAUCUUCAAGGGCUUUUGGGCUUGAUCUUGAAGGACGGUUGGAUGUGUGGAUUUGUCGACGUUGUUGAUCCAAAGGGUUGUUGGGGCUUGAUCUUAGGAUGAACGGAUGAUGAACGAUGAACACUUUCUUCAAGAGUCGUCGGGGCUUGAUCUUGAAUUGGUGGAAGUUCUUCAAGGGCCCGUCGGGGCUUAAGCUUGAAGGCGGAUUUGGCGAAGAACGAAGAGAGUUUUCUCGAUCCUUCGGAAUUUGCUUGAGAGCUUUAGAGUUUCAAAGCUUCAAGGUUUUGGUGUAAUAUCAAUUGGUCCCCCCGAAAUGAAUGAAAUUGGCUUCUAUUUAUAGAAUUUUCCAAGGCCUAAUUUUGAAUAUAAUAUUCAGAUGAAAUAAAUCGUUUCUGCCAGGUGUUGACACGUGUCCUGCUUGAUGACUUUUCUGAUUUAUUUUGAUUUUUCAUUUAGUCACACUCUACGUGUAAAAUUUAUAUGACACGUGAGCAUUGAAAUUGUAACUAUUGGUCAACAUUUAUUUCACCGAAAUUUCGAUGUCUACAGACAUAUUUAUCCCUAUUCUUUGACUUAUUUAUCCCCAUUCGUAAGGUUUUUUGUUGUAAUUCAGAGUUUUUAGAGGGUUGUAGUUGUCUUUUCAGCCUAAUUUAUUUUUCAUUUCCAAAUUAGCUAAAUUGAGGAUUUUAAGGUUUUAUAGCCAAAAUGGUCCCUGAGAUUUGCAUAACACAUAACUUUAGUCCCUAAGAUUGAAAAUCAAUAGAAAUGGUCCCUAAGAUUGUCCACCAUCUAUUAUUUUGGUCAUUCCGUUAAAAAACUCUGUUAAGUGGUCUCGAAGCUCAUACCGGAAACUGGGAUUUUUAGCUUGAAUUUGGGCAAUUUUCAAAGUUUCGUAACUCAAUUGUUUCUUAACCAAAUUCGACCCAUAAUAUAUUAAAAUGAAGAUAGGAAAGUGUAGAACAAGAUUAUACCUAUUUGGAAGCCCAAUGGUUGCCAAAGAUGGUCGGAACAUAUCCUAAAAGGUGAUUGGUCCGCGGAAAAAUUGGGAAACUUGCCAGAAAUUGGGUAAACUUUAAAUGUUCAUAACUUCUUCAAUACUUAACAAAAUCAAGUGAUUCAAACAAAAAUCAUACUUCUCGAUGAGACAAAGAGAAUGGUACCUUUCUCCACGACUCGCUCGUCGUGGUUUGGUCGAAAAACUGCUCAAAAACGGCUAACUAUAGACCAAAACAACCACUUUCAAGCCAUUUUUCGGCCAAACCACGAUGAGUUAGCCAUCGAGAAAUCCAUCAUUCUCUUAUUCUCAUCAGGAAGUAUGAUUUUUGGUUUUGAAUCACUCGAUUUCGUUGAGUAUUGAAGAAGUUAUGAACAUUUAAAGUUUACCCAGUUUUCGGCAAGUUUUCUAGUUUUGCUGCGAACCAGUCACCUUUCAGGCUAUUUUUCAGCCAAAUCAUAGUGGAUUAGCCAUCAAGAAAGGUACCAUUCUCUUUUUAUCAUCGAUAAGUAUGAUUUUUAUUUUUGAAUCACUCGAUUUCGUUGAGUAUUGAAGAAGUUAUGAACGUUUAAAUUUUACCCAGUUUCCGAUGAUUUUCCAGUUUUCCCGCAGACAAGUCACCUUUCUGGCUAUUUUCCGGCCAAACCAUGGUGAGUUAACCAUCAAGAAUAUUCUCUUCGUCUCUUCAAGAAGUAUGAUUUUCGUUUUUGAAUCACUCGAUUUCGUUGAGUAUUGAAGAAGUUAUAAACAUUUAAAUUUUACCCAGUUUCUGGUGAGUUUUCUAGUUUUCAUGUUGAUCAGUCACCUUUCAAGCUAUUUUCCGAAAAAAAAAUUGUGAGUUAGCCAUUGAGAAAGGUACUAUUCUCUUCAUCGAGUCAAGAAAUAUGAUUUUUGUUUUUUAAUCACUUAAUUUCGUUGAGUAUUGAAGAAGUUAUGAACGUUUAAAGUUUAUCCAGUUUUUGGCCAGUUUUCCAGUUUUCCAGCUGACCAGUCAUCUUUCAGGCUAUUUUCCGGCCAUCUCUGGCAACCAUUGGGCUACCAAAUAGGUAUAAUCUUGUUCAACACUUUCCUUUCUUCAUUUUGAUAUCUUAUGGAUCAAAUUUGGUUAAGAAACGAUUGAGUUACGAAGCUUUGAAAAUUGCCCAAACUUCCGUCCAAAAAUCUCAGCUUCCGGUAUGAGCUCCGAGACCACUUAACAGAGUUUUUAACGGAAUGACCAAAAUAAUGGAUGGUGGACAAUCUCAGGAAGCAUUUCUAUUGAUUUUCAAUCUUAGGAACUAAAGUUAUGUGUUAUACAAAUCUCAAUGACCAUUUUAGCUAAAAAACCGGAUUUUAAUUAUCUAUUGUAUUGACCACUUUAUCCAUCAAGUAUUAACAAUAUAUCGACAAAGUCCCAAAAAUUGAUCAUUCAAUUGAUUUGUGUUUUCAUGUGUUAGGCCUUCGACUAAUUUCUCCUUUUUUAUUUAUUGGUUGAUGACAUGUAAUGCUUGAUUUCAUGUUUAAUGAGUAAUUAUUUACAUGAUAGUUUUAUCGUAAAUGUCAUAAUUUGAAUUGUUUAUUUUCUUUAUUAUCAUUCAAAUGUCACCUCUAAACAAUUUCAUUCAAUAUGAAAACUACUAAGUUGACAGUUAAUCAUAAAAUAUUACUUAUUAUCAUAAACAUCGAUUUGUUCAAAACAUACAAAUGACAAAACAAUCUCCAAGUUAAAUGAAUGAUCUUUAGAUGAUGAUAAAGAAAUGAACGGUUUGGAUUAUAAAGUUUGUAUGAUAAAACAAUGUCACAUUAUCAUGUCAAGAGGAAUGUCUUCUUGCAAAGUAUUAACCACGUUUAACAUAUUAGCUCAUGCCUUCAUAAUUUGUUUCAACUUGUUUUCACUUUCAAAAUUUUGUUUCCAUUCUUUUUUCUUAUUUUCCCCUUUCUCUCAUCACCCUUCUUUGUUCACCAAGCCUUUCAUAAAUAAAAAGAAAAUCCGAUCCACUUACUUUCAGCUAAGAAUAUAUAGAAAUGUUGAACUAAAUAUAUGCAUAUUUAAACGGUUUUGGUUAACUCAAAAAAAAUAUCCCUACCGUAUUUUGAUAAUCCAUAUUAUUCCAUUUCUCUAAUAGUGUGAGACUUACUUCUAUUGGUCGAUCACACCUAUACUUAUAAUAAACCAGUAAUAUAUAUGAUCUACCAAAUUAUAAUUUCCCUACCAUUAUUCUAACCAAAAACCCUAGUUCAUACAAAGUGAAAAUGUCACUUUUUUCUUUCUCUAGUAGUUUCUCUCCUUUUUGGUACCAAAUUUAGCCUCUAGGACGUUCUACAGUCCAUAACUUGGACUUAUAUUAGUGGGAAAUUAAAGAAACAAUUGCAUCAGCUAGAUUAGGCUACUCUUUGUUUUGUUGUUGGAAAUAAUCCUCUUCCCCUUGAAACGUUUGUAAACUUGGUGAACCAACGAAACUUAUGAGUUGGUAUACAAAUGUCAUGCAAAUUAAGUACCUGGCAUACACAUGUCUAUCCUCUUUUUUCUUCUUUGGACUAUCAUAUACGUAUUAAAUGUACAUAUACGAAUUGAUGCAUACAUACAUAUGUAUAUAUGAUACCAAAUGGGGCAGAAGUGGGAGCAAAUGAGAUUCAUAUGUGGGAUUAAUCGAACUAACAAAGCACGGAACCAAUUUGUGAUAAAUGAAUAAAAAGAAAUGUAUGAAAGAUUGAUAUGUGUUUACCUUGAACUUGAGAUAUUCACUAAAUUGACUGAGAGUAAGAAUUAUAUGCCAAUUGAAAUCAAUUGUUAUGAAAAUAUUCAUAAUGAAAAUAAAGAAUUCAAAAUAAUGAUGCAAAUAUAAUUUGAAACUAAGUUUUAUUGCAAAACUUACACUGGGACUUACAAUUGAUUUACUGACGAUUGAGUCAACAAAUAAGAAGGUGACUGAUGAAAAGGACAUUGGUGCACGCAUGCAUCCUUGACAUUUGAAAAUUGAAAGUGUUUACAAUUUUUUAUUUCUUUGAAUACAAUGUGAACUCAAAGAAAGUUUUAACUGGGAAAAAUGUGGAAAAUUAACUUGCUUUCUCUUUCUCCGAGUCUUCCUCUUAUAGACAUGGAAAAGGAGACUUUAAUGAUUGAUUUCUUCACUAUUGAAGCACAUGAUGGAAGAUGAUUUGCAUUUACUGUUGAUGAAUAGUGAAUUUGUCAAAAUAAUUGUUGCUUUUACUGUGGAGCAUGCUGAGUGAUUUCUGCUGAUUGAAUGAUUCCUUGCUUUGUCGGAAUGAUUGAUGCGAAUAAUAACUGAAUGCUUCACAUGGUGACUUACUGCGUUCACAUGGCUUGAUUUGUUGUUUCACAUGGUGCCUUGAAAUUAUGAACACGGAAAAUUCCUGAAACGAAAGAGACAAGAACAACGCGCACAAACAAAUAUUUGUAUUUGAUGAUUUUGGGUUACAAUCUCUCUCUAAUUUGUCCUCUGAUUCGAUCUCCGUAAGGUGUUGAUUUGUGGGAUGUGCGAUUGAUCCAAGGGCCGUCGAGGCUUGAUCUUGGAUGAACGAGGAUGAACGGAUCUUCAAGGGCUUUUGGGCUUGAUCUUGAAGAACAGUGAUGAACGGAUUUCCGAGGGCUUUUGGGCUCGAAAAGAUCUUCGAGAGCUUUUGGGCUUGAUCUCGAAGAACAGUGAUGAACGAUGAACGCUUCCUUCAAGGGCCGUCGAGGCUUGGGCUUGAUGAACAGCGGAUGAGCGGAUUCGUUGAUGUUGUCGAUCCAAAGGGGCCGUUGGGGGUUGAUCCUUGAGGAUGAACAGUUGAUGAACGAUGAACGCUUUCUUCAAGGGCCGUCGGGGCUUGAUCUUGAAGGUGGAUGAACGAAGAACGAAGAAGGCUUUCUUGAUUCUUCGGGAACCUGGAUGCUUGAGAGCUUCGGAGUUUCAGAGUUUCAGAGUUUCAGAGCUUCAGAGCUUCAAGGUGUCAUAUGAAUUGGUCCCUUUAAUGAAUGAAAUGGGCUUGUAUUUAUAGAAUUUUCCAAGGCCUAAUUUUGAAUAUAAUAUUCCAGAUGAAAUAAGUCGUUUCUGCCAGGUGUUGACACGUGUCCUAUUUGAUGACUUUUCCAACUCAUUUCAAUUUUCGUUGAGUCACACGCUACGUGUAAAAUUUAUGUAAUACAUGAGCGUUGACACUUUGAUUUAUCGGUCAACAUUUAUUUACCGAAAUUUCGAUGUCUACAAAUGCCCCCACUUCAAGGCACGUCGUAUACAUGUGCUUGUCACGUGUAGGAGAUGCGUUUUGAAGUCCCCUAAUUGUAUAUGUCGAUCCAAGGGCCGUCGAGGCUUGAUCUUGAAUUGGGCUGGAUCUCUUCAAGGGCCGUUGAGGCUUGAUCUUGAAUUGGGCUUGAGAUUUCUUCAAGGGCCGUUGAGGCUUGAUCUUGAACUUUGUUUGAAAUUUCUUCAAGGGCCGUCGAGGCUUGAUCUUGAAGGUUGAAAUAGGACCACAAGGAGCUUCAUGUGGUAGAUGAUCUUUGGCUUUGGUAGUGGGUGAAUCGGCACGUAUUUUGUUGCGCUUGUUGACUUUCCACAGCUUUGAUCUUGAACUGGGUUGGAGGAUUUUCUGGCUUCCUCCAAUUGUUGAUUUUCCACAGCUUAUUCUUGAACUAGGUUUUGAUUCAAGGGUGGUAGACACUUGAUCUUGAAUCAGACUUGUGAUUUCUUCCAGGGCCGUCGAGGCUUGAUUUCGAAUUUGGCUGAAAGCUUCUUCAAGGGCCGUUGAGGCUUGAUUCUUGAAGGUUGACUCGAACACAUGACAAGCAGGCACGAGGUAAAGGUGACAACCUGUUUCUUUGUUCAAUCUUUCUAAUUCACACCUAAGCGGUUUGGUCAAUGGUAUGAUCUUCAAGAUUGAUGAACUCUUCUUCCAGUUGGUGACUUGAUCUUUAAGGAUUCGAUUCAAGGGUGGUGAAUCGGCACGUGCAGCCCACAACGCCUAGUAAGUCGACCCAAGAAUUUGAGGGUCAAAACAAGUUCACUGUCCUCAGGCAGAUGCGACAUCUUCUCGAGUUCUUCAUCUCGGACUCUUUCUGCUGAGUUGACUGUGCAUGCUGCAUUCUUCUCUGCUUGUUUCUUCAGGCAGAUAUGGCAGCUUCUCGAGUUCCUCAGUU